CAACAUUUCCUUCAUCCCGGAAGACGAGGAAGUGGAUGCAGCCAGUGAUGGCGAGGAGCGGGAGGAGGAUCUGAGGGAGAUGGGAGUGCUGGCUGCUGAUGUGGCAGACACCGAUACGGGUUCCGGCGCCCGGACGUGCUCGGGUGCUCGGCGCAGUGCUGCGUCCCGGGGCCAGUCGGUGUGCGAGGGCGUCUAUGAGCUUCGUCGCCUGCUGCUGCCCGCCGCCGUUCCGACCACGCCUCAGCACUCCUCCGCCCAGCGGGCUCUCUACACGCAGCAGGAGCGAGAACAUGUGUCAGCGCAGCAGGGACUGCCUGCUGGUGCCGGUGCCGUUGUCAGUGCCGAUUCAGUCGAGUCCGUCUGCGUCAUGCAGGAGUCCAUCUUGCCAACUGAGUCCGCAUCCUCCGUCUCCUCUUCAUCCUCCGUGUCAUCCGCACCAGAACUCCGACUGGCAGACUCCGCAGACCUGCAUGAGGCGUACAAAUGCCAUGCAAGUAUGGUCAAUCUCUGCGGCGGAGAAGAAAGCUGUGCCGGUUACGAGGAGCAACGUGGCUUCCAGGGCCCCUGCCGGGACGUGGUCACGAGUAAUUGCGGUGCUGAUUCGUGCGAAAGGGAGGCCGGAGCCGCCUUCAGCUGCGGAUCAUGUGAAAUGGACGAGUCGUCGUGUGGCGAGCCAGCACCCAUGACGCCAAGUCGGCAGCACCCGCACCUGCCCGUCUGCUCUCCUUGCGGCAAGACCGAGCUGCUGGUAGCAGCUGGCGCCGACACAGCGGCAACGGCAGCAGCAGCCCUAUCAGUGGCGGCGGAUGCGGCCUUGGUACCGGCAGUCGAGGCCGGGUUUGAGGUCGAGGAGGAGGAUGGCAACAUCAUCACGUAUCCGCUGGGUCCCGGCUGUGAGCCCUCCAUGUUGCUGCACUACAGCAGCUCACCGGAGGCCGCUCCACAUGGCUCCAUGCUCGCCCUCAGUGCCGGGCCCAGCCCACGCAGCUUCCCUGUUGGCUCCCCGCUGCGAGAUUCCCCCGCCCGGCAGCCGCAGCCCUGCCCGUCUGGCCUCUCCGCCGCCGCACUGUCCUCAGCCUCAUUCCUCCAUGCAGCCUCAGUCCGCUCCCGCCGCACGUCCGCCCCUAGGUCCGCGCCCACAUCUUCAGGGGGGGCAAUGGCUGACUUCCCUCUCACUGUACCUGAUCUGUCCCGCGGCGUCCCAGCGCCGGUACCAGAGCACCCUGCCUCCACCGGCCCCUCCUCCUCCACCUCUAUUCAUGUUGAUAUGCUCCAUACCUCUCACGACCCGCCAGAGCUGCCUGUUGAUCCCUCCGCAUCUUCGUUCUCCCAGCUGGGCAUGCCCGUACCCUUGGCGCCAGCACUGUCCAUGGCGCGUACGAGUACUCGAUACCGUCGGUCCACCGCUGGCGGCAGCACGAGCACCGCCAGCAGCAGCGCAGUAUGCACCCCGCGCAGCGUUGCAUCGACAACCGCACUCUACGGCGCCCGUGGCGGAAGUCAGGGAGGGUCGGUACGGCAGCGUCACCGCGUCGCGCCGCCUCCCUGUCUGAGCCACCCCUCGCGUCCGCACCCGAAGCAUGUACAUGUGGUGGGUACACAGAACGCGAGCCUGCACACCCUGCACAACCACUCGACUACACUCAAGGCUAUUGCAGCCGCCGGCACACCUGCAGCGCUGGCGGCCGCGGCGUGCGCCUCCCUGGAGUUGUGUCGGCGGCGUCAGGCUCGCGAGCAGCUGGUGCAGCAGGCGGCGGCAACCUUGUGCGGCGGCGCGGACUGCCCCAGCUACCUGCGGCCGACGCUGUCGUCCGCUGCCAAGUCACUGUUGCUGCAGCACCAGCCCCCUCCUCCUCACCCUCCUCCGUAUCGACCGUCUGUAACAGCGGGACCCACCCCCACCAGGUCCAUGGGCCCGGCCAUCGAGCGGCCGUUCCGUUAGACGCCUGCCUGCCCAGCCCGCUUGCUAGCUAGCUUUAAGCUUUUGUCCAUAGCACAUAUCCAGUUUGAGGGGUUCCGCACUGGGUGAAGCCAUCGGCGUGCCGGGCGACCUCCUCCGCAGCAGCAGCAGGGAGGGCUUCUUUGUCCCACUCGAGGGGUCAAGUGCGUCCUCCGACCUUUUGUUACAUAUAAUCGUAUCUUAUUAUACAGCUAUACGGACGAUAAGGAGCAGCGCCGCGGCGGCAGCGGCAGCUACAGCCCGUCUUGUCGUGGUCCAUACAAGCGCAGCUCCGUACAUACAUGGAUAGGAGGUUACGCCUGUGAGUGUGUGCACAGGUUUGCUUGCUUGAGAAAAAGACAGAAGACAGUUGGUUUGUGUUGGCGCACAGACAUAAGGGGCGGCAGGGAAGAAUGUGUUGUGACGAAAAUCCAGCGGGGAUGGGUUCACGGGUGUUCACCACAGCAUAGGGGCGGAAAAAGGAGACGUGCUUGGCUGUGUCACGGUGGAAAGCAAUUGGCCAUUACACUCCCAAUGUGCUAUUUACAGACCUGGAAGGAUGCGGCAGCUACCGGCGUGACGGCCCAUGCUGCAGGAGGUAGGGGCUGGAUGACUAGGGAUGGGUUUCGGUUCCGGACUAGAGGAUUGCGGUCCUGGUGAGACCGGCUUUUGGCACGGCUUGGCGCCGCGGUGCAGUUGGUUGGCUGGUGCCUUGUUGCCGGGUCGAGGGGAAAACAGAGGGUGUUCAACGAGCGAGGGAAAUCACGUAACAUGCCGUACGCUUUGUGAGGAAAUUCUGUCAUCCUUUUCAAGCGUAUGAAGGGUGAUGCAGUGUUGUUUCCGACCCACCGACCCACCUACCGAUGUCUUCUCGUUCACCUUUGACCGCAAACUGGCGGGAUGUGCGUACUGGUACACGUGUGAACUGUCUAGCCGUAGUACGGUGGAUGGUAGAACCGGCGGUUCUAGGCACCGUCAUGAAAGGCGACAGGGCAGGAGAUGACCCACCAAGGACGUGCUUGGUGUGCGACAGGGUUGGCUUGGGUAGAGGUGCUUACUGGCUUAUUUGCAGGUUUGUUAAGGAUACCGUAUGAAUGCUUUCAUGCUGUCGUUGUGCAGCGCCGGUGGGCGGGUGGGUAUUAUUGGCCGCAGCGACGGCAGACAAGCAGGAAGGGCAUUGCGCCUCCCGGGGGGCUUUGCAGGGGACAUGCUUCCUGGUGCCCUGCAGGAAGUAGAUGGCUAGGAGGGCGCAGGGCGCCUUCCGCGCUUUCAGGGCUUUCGGCUGCCCUGCCUUCCUAAGCAGGUGGGUAUGUGGUGGUGUGGAUGGGGAAAUCCGAUCUCAGGCGAAACCUCAGACAGCUCAGACACGUUGAGGAUUAUUUUUUCCAGUUGUUGUUUGCUUUAGGUUGUAGGUUAGGGAUUACAAAACCAAUGGCAAAUACUUGUUGUGCCUUGUUGACAAGACGCGUGCUUGGAGUUGCAGAGCUGGGGGGUUGACCAAGUCGGUGAUUCGUUUGUUUGUUUCGAUAACCUCGCGGCGGUGCUGCCUGAUGGGGAGGGGACGGCAAUGUCGGUACAUCCGCCCCAAAAUUUGCAGGCGAGCAGUCUUGGUGAUGAUAGUGAGAUGGCGGCGUGGUGGCUCCCGUUGCCGCACGUGAGUGGUGUUCAGGUGGCCAUGUUGAUGUCCCCUGCACUCAUAAGUCGCAUUCCAUUUCCCGUGUCUGUGCGCGGUAGGGUCUCUGGCGGCUCGGUGUCUACGGAGAGGCCCGUUCGUUUAAAGCGGCCCACGCUUCCUUGACUUUUACGUGCAGCAUUGUCAACCGGAGAUGACAGGCCUUGGACUACGCGACUACUUAUUGACUGACCCGUGUAUGUAUAUGUGUAUGUGUGCCCCACAACGUGUGUAGUCCUUACAUGUUAAGUAGCUGGUGCGUAUGGCACGGCCUUUCUAGGCGGUGUGGCGUGGCCCUUCAUGGCCUGCAUGGACGUGCCCUUCUGCACGACUGCUUGUGUGUACGUACUUGGCUCGAUGGGGGAUCGUUUCCGCCACCGCAACCAGUGAAAGCAGGCGCCUGCCCGCUGCCCUGAGCUGCAAGCUUCCCUUGUUGUUUAUGAUUGUGUCGCUUUCGAUUGGUUGUUGCUGUGGGCGGUUCUCCACUUCGUUGUUUUGUUGGAUUCCCAAAUGCCGGUUAGGUGAUUGUUGCUAGGCUUGGCCGUGCCCGUGUCCGUCAGUCCUUUGACUCGGUGCUACGAUUUCAGGUAUGUUAGGGAAGAGGACAUGGCAUCAUUUCCCUAAACGCCCAUUCGGGAAACUAUGCCAGGUCCUCUUCCACCCCGUCCGACAGGGGAACCAGGGGGGCAGGGUCCAGGGGUGGGAGGAGGAGGCCCAUGUCCCCCCGUGUCCCUUCAAGAGGGCUUCGUGAAGGCGCUUUGGCGUCCUUGAACUAAAAGAAUUCUUUAGGCAUGACUAUUCCUCUAUGCCAGGGCCUUAUAAUACAUUCUUUAUAGUGCCUUCCUCUGAGGUCGCUUUAGUACUUCAGUACCUUUUUAUCACCCGUGUUUCCCUGUUGCCUUGUAACACAAUCCAGAGCAAUGCUGGCGUCGUUUCCAAGGAAACGCAAUUUGCUCAUGUCGCGUACGUGUCGAAACUUGACACCGCGAGAUUGAGAUGUAUGUAAACGCUUCGGCUGUGUUUCGCGGGUUGCAGCCUGGGCCCGUACACCCCGCGAUGAAAAAACGUUAAAGCAUUCGCAAGGUAUUUCGUUCGAAACCUACCAUGUCUGAUACGCCUGCUGCUCACACGCACGCAGCAGGCAGCAGGCAAGACACACAAUCUCAGCUACAACCUAUCCUAUCAGUCGGUACAUACGACAGAUCCACAGCUACUGUACAAAAAGGCGACACAUAAGUGCAGCUUCGGCGUGGCAGGAACAUAUCGACUAUAUAGCUUCAAAGCUGAAAGAUGGAACUUCAAAAUGCCCAACAGUCCUAUUGAGGCUUUUAAAUGGACACCACACACAUACGCAUGUACGCAGCAGCCUUGUAUCACGUCAUAUGUACGCUGGGAGCUCCAUACUGUUGGAGCCCCAAAGGCGUUUUUAGCACCGCCCGGCCGUCCCUCUGACACGGCCCUCUACAGCCGAACCACACGAUCAGAUCCGGGGACAUGGCGCGUCUAGGAAGUCCCUCAACGCGCGGGCGUUCUUAGAGCUGGCCAUGAUGACUUCCAGUCGCUCCAGGGGCAGGGCCGCCAGCUCCGCCAGGCUGGAGACAUGGCCCAGAAUGGCACGAUAGUUGGAAUCUGGUCGUAUGACCCGGGGAUAAGGGGGGUGGGGAGGGAGGGGAGGGAGCAGGCUUGAGGUAAAGGAGACUAAAUGGCAAAGUUGGGAAUGCACGACACAAUAACUUUCAGUGUCCUGCUGAAAGGGAGUGAGGCGGCCUAUGGAUUACUGGAGGAUGGAGAGGCGUACAGGGAAGUUCACGACCAGGACCACUCUGCCCUUGAUGCCUCUCCUUAAGCUCCCUCACCACCACUGACACUCCUCCCACCUCUCUUCCCCCAUCAGCCCCCACUCCAACCGCCACCGGGGGCCCCACCAAAUCACAUUCCUCUCAGGACCCCCUCCCCCCCCCACACACACACACUCACUCACUCACCAGUCACACCGGGCAGCCUCCUCAACAGCUCCAUUGCUGGCUGGUUCACCACAGACUCGAGUGGAGCCGCCCCAGGACCGCUGGCCCCACCUGCCCGCAACCCCCCAGCACCUCCUCCUCCACCACCGCCCUCCGCAUCCGAUGGCGGCAGCGGCACCCCGUCCGGCCCCAGGGGGACCCCCACCAGCGCCGCCGCGGCGGGGUCGGGCUCGUCCUGGUUGGACUUGAGGACCGCGAACAGGUCGGCGGUGGCGUGUGGGCUCCGAGACCACAACAGCCUGCCGGGGUCCAGGGGGAUUCGGCGCCGGGAAUUACGGGACGCGGGAAUACGAAGGUCUGUUGAAGGAACGCGAUUUGUUUUCUGUAUCUGUGUCAUGGUACGAAUGACCUCAUGAGCGCAAGUCCCUCCAGCCCCCGCCGUCUAGGACCAAGCCCUCCCCUCCCCCCCGUACCUGAGCUUGGGGAAGUGCAGGGUGAGCAGGGUGAGCUUGGAGAUGACGUUGCGCGGGUCGAUGUCGUCCCCCAGCUCGGAGGGGCUCUGCAACCCGAACUGCCGGUCCGCAUCGAACUCAAUGAGCAGCAGGGGCCGGGGAUAGUGGCGGCACAUCGCCGCCACCUGGUUGUACAACCUGGGGGUUGUGGGGGGGAGGAGGUGAAGAGGAUCUGGGUUUCAUACAACAUAAGUGGGCGAAUACUGGCCAUCGUUCCUUCCUUCUCCGUCCUAAACCACUGCCCCAUUUAUCACUCCCCCUCCCCCUCCUCCUCCUCCUCUUCCUCCUCCUCCUCCUCCUCCUCCUACUACUACUACAAUCAUCAACCCCUGACAUUUACCCAAGGCCCUCACCCCGGCACUCCUCAGUCCCAUUGCUUAUCCGGGCCCCCCAACCUUCCCUGUCCCUGAUUUCGCACCUGCCACUGGCCAGGCUGGCGUGCAGGUCGGGCAGGCUCUUCCGCUCCACCACCAGCUGCGGACUCAACACGUAGUCCCCCACCUCCAGAGUCAAGGGAAGCAGCUCAAAGCCCUGCAGGGAGAAGGGGACGGGUGAGGGGGGGAGAGGGGCGAUAUGGGCCCAGGUCGGGCCAAGGGGCUUGGGCUUGAGUGAGGUGUUGGGAAGAAUUGCGUACGGGGUGGGACGGGGGAGGUGGUUACUCUGGUGCGAAUAAACUCAACCCUAGGUCCCCAGCUUCGGGAGUUGGUUCAGGAACGCCCUCAGCAACACCCUCAUAGCCCACGCGUGCUCAGGAAGUGAGCUAACCCCGUUUCCAGAUCGGGGGUAGCUCGUUUUCAGUGGCCGGGAUCUUGGCACCCCAGUCGUACCGCCACCCCAGGUCCCCCCAUUCCCGGUCGGCCAGCUCCCGCCCACCAGUCAGAUCAUAGGGACCAACCCCCGGGGCCCCUGGAGCCGGACGCGCCACCGCUACAAACCUUCUGGUACAGCACCGCUGGCAGGCUGCUCAUGAACUCCCGGACGUCCACCACCAGGCGCCUCCCCGCCCCUCCCCCGCUCGCUCCGAGACCACCCACACCGCCGCCCCCCUGUCCCGCCAUGCGGCCCCCCGCAGACCGGGUGAGUGCAUUGGCGCUGUACACGUCCAGCCACAGGUCUGCGCUCAGAGCGCCACCCCCACCCCCGCGAGCUCCGUUGCUGCUCCCUCCCCCUCGCUGCGGGACGUGGAGUAGGGUGUUGGCGAGGCGAGCACGUAGGGGGAGGGAAGCCAGGCAAGUCAAGGGGGGCUCAGGGUUGUUCUACCUCGCUCGUGAGUUCGGCCGGCCAUUAUGACCACCGUGAUUAGCAAAGGGGUCUGGCACGAAGGACUUGAGCAGCGCAGGCCCUGACCGUGCUGGUUCUGGUUCCGGAGCAAAUAGAUCGAAGUGACACCCAGGCAAGGAGGGGGAAGGGGCUUUAGGGAGGGAGGGGAAGGAGGCGGGUGAUCCCUGUGUACAUGUAUGUGUGGNNNNNNNNNNNNNNNNNNNNNNNNNNNNNNNNNNNNNNNNNNNNNNNNNNNNNNNNNNNNNNNNNNNNNNNNNNNNNNNNNNNNNNNNNNNNNNNNNNNNNNNNNNNNNNNNNNNNNNNNNNNNNNNNNNNNNNNNNNNNNNNNNNNNNNNNNNNNNNNNNNNNNNNNNNNNNNNNNNNNNNNNNNNNNNNNNNNNNNNNNNNNNNNNNNNNNNNNNNNNNNNNNNNNNNNNNNNNNNNNNNNNNNNNNNNNNNNNNNNNNNNNNNNNNNNNNNNNNNNNNNNNNNNNNNNNNNNNNNNNNNNNNNNNNNNNNNNNNNNNNNNNNNNNNNNNNNNNNNNNNNNNNNNNNNNNNNNNNNNNNNNNNNNNNNNNNNNNNNNNNNNNNNNNNNNNNNNNNNNNNNNNNNNNNNNNNNNNNNNNNNNNNNNNNNNNNNNNNNNNNNNNNNNNNNNNNNNNGGUGGGAGUGAGGCCCCUGGCCCUGCCUAUCCUGCCCCUUGCCUGGCUCCCCCCUCCCCCCCUCAAGGCGCUAAUACAACAGACCCUCUAAGAGGUUCCACUCCUCCCUUCCCCGCUCACCUGCCGCAGGAAGGCCAGGUCUGGUUCGUACAUGAUGAUGAAGGAGGGGCGCAGCCGCCACAGCACGAACUCGUCAUGGCCGUCCAAACUUACAAAGUGAACAUCCUGGAGCAAUGCCUGUGAAGCAGUAUCACUAGCAGUAGCUGCAGGAGAGGACAUUCCAUGGCCACCACCUGCUACAGCGCCAUCAUCACUACAUCCCGCUGUAGCAGCUACAGCCGUGGCCGAAGGGGCUGUUGACGGCUGCGGCGCCGCCGCAAUAGCAGCAGCAGUAGCAGCCACCUUCCCUCGGGCGGUGACCUUGUCACCAGUGACACUUUCCCCAGCCUCCGCCGCAGUAGCAGCAGCUGUACUGCGUCCACGGCCCUGGCGGCCUAUUGCCCUGCUGCUGCCGCCGUUUCGGCGCCCCUGCCCUGCCGUACCCCGACCUCGAUAAGACGCCGCCGCCGCACGACUCUGUGGCGGCUUGCCGUACACCCCCUCAUCACCUUGAAAGUCCGACCAGUCGUCAUCACUCGCUCUAUCCCCCACAUUGCUGCCUGCUGCAGCUCCCCCCUCAUCCUUCUCCCCUUCCAGCACCGCCACCUCCAUCUCCAGCUGCUCCUCCUGUUCGGAAUCUGCUGCUGCCGCUGCUGCCACCCGCACCGGUGAAUCAUCCGGCUUGCGCUGCCGCCUGCUGCCACCGCUACUGCCACCCCGCCGGCCCCUGGGCCCCCGGCUCUGACGCCCGGACGCAUCCGCUGCUGGGACCGUUGCGGCGCUGGUGCCGGUGCCGCCGCCAUCUCCCCCCGCGAGCCUGGCCCUCUUUGCUGCCCGACCCGGCCCCCGCCCCCGGACCUGCGCCGCCGGCUCCCCCCGCGCCACCCCCACACGGUGGGCCUCUGCCAAAAGGGCCUGAUGCUCCCCCGGCCGCAACACCGGGCCGUGACUGCACUCGUCACCAUCACCGCCGCCACGGUACCGCUUCCAGCCGCCGCCGCCACCACGGCCGCGCCCGGAGCCGCGGCUGCCGCCAGGUGCGGCUGCACCGCCGUCCCCGCCCCCGGCAGCUGCAUCGCUGCCGCGACGUCCUCUUUCCGUCGGCUUCAACUUGCUUAGAAGGUACGACUCGUACAACUGCUGCAUGACUGGACGGCCGCCUGAUGAGAGUCCACAUGUACGGCAAGAUUCCGAGAGCGGAGUCCCAACAUGUGAUGUAAAAAUGCAGUUCAGAGGGUUGCAGAACCAGGUGGGCGUGUGGCCGUGUGGGCGGAAGAGAAAAGAGGUAUGAUGGCAGCACCAGUCGAGCUGCACCCCAUUCCGUCUGAUGUCUAAAUAUGGCAGUUGGUGGUGAGAGGUCGGGAGCAGCUGAUUAGCGCGGCUCACACACACAGACACAUUACACUACCUCCCCCCUGACGUAUACGCGCACACACAACGUAUUGGACGCAUAUGCCUGACGAGCUGCAACCCCCACUCCCAAGCAUUGCCUGCUCGCAGCCCCGCACCCCCCUGCCUGCGACCCCUCUUCUUUCCCCCGUUCACACCGUCCUCCUCACCUUCCCGCACCACCCUCUCCAGCAACCUGGUCGAGUGCAGCUCCCUGACCACCACCAGCACGGGCCCCCGACCCGCCUCCGCGAGCACACGCAGGUCGCCAGCGGUCACCUCCACAACCCCACUGCCACUGACCCCGCUGCCGCCCGCCGCAUCGGACCGCUGUUCCGCCGGGCCGCUGCCUCUGCCGCCCGCUGAUGUCAUCCCUCCUCCUCCUCCCCCUUCCCCGCCCCCCAGCAGACCCAGAUCCUCGAGCAACGCACGUAGGGACUGGGCGGUGGGGGUACCUCCACAGCCCCCAGCUCCGGAACCACCAACAACGGGAGGUGGUUGAGGCCGGCGGUCUGCUACAGCGGGCGCUGCUGCCGUGGCUGUAGCCCUCCUUCCGGCCCUGUGUCCCUGCUCCCCCUGCUCGUCCCCCAGGUCAUCAUGCUCGUCCUGGUCCUGGUCCCCAUCCUCGCUCGCAUCACUGGAAGCCGCCAGGUCCACCACCUCAACCUGAAGCUCCGGGUCGGGUGAGGCUUCAGCUUCCGUUGCAACCGUUACCGCCGCUGCCGUCUGCGGCCCACCUGACCCACGGGUCGCGACUGCUCCCGACUCAGAACCCUGACCUUGGCGAGGACCGGACGACGGCGAGAUUCGCGGCUUCUGAGUCCCGGUAGCCGCCCUGAACCCUGACCCAGUUCCCCCUGCCGCUGCCGGUGCCGGUGCCGGUGCUGGCCGGGCUGUGCCCGUGUUGUCGGUGCGGGGUGGUUGUGGUGUUGAUUUGUGUUCCUGUGCGCCCGCCCGCAGCUCCCGGGUCAGUGUCCGAGCCAGUGUGGACAGGUCCUCCACACCCGCUAGGGCCCUCAGCUGCCGGCGCUGCCUCUGCACCUCCCCCAGCACCUCCCCCAGCAACCCCCACUUGGGCGGCUCCUCCAGGAUAGCCUCCACCUCGGAGUGACACCCGCUGCCACCGCCACCGGCACCGGCACCGGCACCGGCUGAGGCGCUGCUCCCCCCCGCCGCCACACCUCCUGAGGUGGCCCUAGCCGCCCGGGUGCCGGUUCCGGGUCUGGAUCCGGAGGCGCUCUGAUGACCUUGCUGCUGCUGCUGCUGCUGGCGGUAGAUGUAGACACGGCGGCGGGCCUGUGACCGUAUGCAUCGCACGUGCGCACAUGGCCUGGUCGGUAACCAGGUGGUUAGGUAGUGUGGAGUUGCGGCUGCAACCGAGGCCAUUAUUGCGGCUACGAAUAACCCUUGCCCUCCGCACGGACUGACGAUCUGGAGCCUCAUUCCACACGCACCCAUCUGAGCUACUGGUACUAGUGCUGCUAUGACUAUGUCGGUAUUAGCAUGUGUCCAGGGCCACCCCCCUCCCUCCCCUCCUACCUCUGCUCCCCUGUCAUGGACUCUCCCACUCCCCGAGUGGUUGUGUGGUUAGACUAAUAACUCAACAACUCCACGACGAUAAAUACAAGCACACACGUACCUCGUAUAUCUCAGAUGCCCCACAACCACACAUACAGCCGCAUCCGCACCUGCUCGUAAAUGGCGUGUGUUGCAUCAUGGAACAGCCACAUGCAGCGCACCCCCUCGCUCUGCCUGAGUCCCUCCAGGUGCGCCAGGAAGGUCACGCAGUCGGCGGACAGCAGCAGGGCGGAUAACUCCCGCAGGGUGCGCAGGUCGCUGAAGGAGGUGGGGGAGGGAGGGAGGGAGGGAGGGAGGUGUCCAAGGAAGGAAGACCUCUCGAGUUCGGGAGGGGCGGGGAGGCAGAGGAUCCGCUGCCUGGUAGUCGUUAAGAGGGGCGGGGAGGGAGGCAGGCCCCGCGGAGGUGAAGUAACUGGACGUGUACGGACCUAGAGCGCAGGGCCGAGAUGUCGAUGUGGGUGUGGGUGAAGGUGGGUACGGGGUGCCGUAUGGGGCCUUAGGGGCGGGCAACACCCCAGCUGGGAUUCCCCCCUAGGCCACCGGUUCCUGGAUACCCGUCAUUUACACAACGUGACCAGCUCGGCCACCCAACCUCCCACCGCUUGCGGGUUUCAGCAAAGCAGAUGCUCCACCCGUCACGGGAAGGGGUUGGCUCCAACCCCGCACCCCAGCCCAUCCCUGCAAUCAGCCCAGCCACCCAUGUCGUACUAACCACUCACGUGCAUAUUCUCCGGGUCUUGUAGCUGACGGUGUGCCAGAUGGGGUCCAACUGUCGACGUACGAUUUCGUCGAAGGCGCGCAACACACCGUUCUCCAGCACCAGCUCAGUCCUGAGGUAAACCGGGGGAAGGGGGGAGGAGGAGGGAGGGGAGGGAGAUGUGAGGCAGGCAGGCAGAUAACGUCCCCCGCUGUCUGGAAACGUCCCUUAACACAACAUCAUGUUUAGUGAGCGCUCUAUUGCGGGGUUGGGCGGUGGUGGCCGCUGCAGGGGCUGAUGGAAGUACUGCUGUAGGCCGGUAGCGGUCCGGAAACCAGCAUGCCCGGCUGAUGGCCAGGGCUCAACAUAUGAUUACACCUGUACGGCUCCCUGUACGGCCCCUAUACAACAGCUUUAGGAGCCCUUUGAGAUCGUUUCUGUGCCAGCCCUUUGCCGCCGCCGCUGUCUUGGUGCACACGCACUCUCGUCCCAGUGUUCCUCUCCCCCCACUGACAUGUCCAGUUUGUUGUUGGUCCUCCUCAGCUCCCGGAUGAGGCCCUCCAGCACCUCCACCAGGGCGGCCUGGAUGAGCACCAUGGGGCCGCUGAGCUCCUGGUCCCACUCAAACACCUGCGGGGGUUGGGGGGUAGUGGAGGAGGAGGGGCAGGGACUCGUCGAAGAGGGAAUGGGCGAGAGGAAAGAGAGAGAGAGAGAGAGGGGGGGGGAGAGAGAGGGAGAGAGACAGAGGGAGAGAGAGAGGGAGAGAGCGAGGAGCUCACCACGGGCUUGUGAUUGUCCAAGCACUGCCGUACAUGCUCCUGGAACCUAGGCCACAGAUGCAGCCGUUUCAGCCUCAGCGCCUUCAUCACAUGCUCCACGCGAUUGAAUCCACGGUUGAACGCACCAGGUGCAUCAGACAGGGCAUAAACCCAACACCCUCCUCCGCUGCCACCCCUGGCCGGCCCCGUCCGCGCGGCUGCGUCCCCCUCAGCUUUGAGCAGCGCCACUGCAAAGCCCUCGCCACUGGUGUCACUUGCGCGGUGAGCGUUGAGUAUGAGCAGUCCCCCAACCUCCCACGGCCUCAGUCUGCGAGCCAGCAGGUCCACCACCAGAAUUCGGGGGGUGAUGAAGAGGGGUCGACCUCCAGGGAGGGCCCUGUACAGCUGUACACGCUCUGCAGCAGGAAUUUCAUUGGUGAUGUCCACGGGGGCCUCCAGGGAGGGGUCGUGGCGGGCGAGCUCAGCAGUAAUGAGGGCUCGCUGCCGGGGCCCGGCGCCAAGGACGAGGACGCAGCCGGGGUGUCCAUCGCCGUCGAUGCCGCUGCCGCUGCCGCAAUGGAUACUUGUAUGAGCGCUCAAGGGUAGGGGUGUUGCGUCGGUGCGUUUGCUGGUUGAGGGGGCAGCAUUGGCAGGCGUUACGGAAAGGGAUAGCGAUGUGGCGGGAAAGGGCGUGGUGCCAGGUUGUUGUUGUUGUUGCUGUUGUUGCGCAGGAUGGUCUUUUGGGUCGCUGGAUGGGUUUAGGUGUGGUGCGCCAGCAACGCGUGCAUGCUGUGCAAUGCGGAGGAGGACCGCGGCGACGCGCUGCCAUCCAAGUCCCGCAGCGGUAAUUAUAAGGCAGUCUUCCUGAGGAUACAGAUUUUAAAAGGAGAAACAAGGUUGCAAAUGGGCCGGUGCAGGAUAGAGUACAAGGGCAUUUGCGAAGAUUUGCUGAAGCACACGCCUCAGGAGACGUUUUCUUCCAAGAUUUACUUGAAUGGCCUCUUCUAUGAGAUGCCUCUCGUAGGGCAGGAGCAUUAGCGACGACAACGCGGUUGCCUCAACUUGCUCCAUCUUUAGUCAGGUGCCAUCGGUGAUACAUUUAUUUUGGAGGAGAAUACUUAAGAAUUAUGGUAAUUCCCUUGCAUAAUAGGAAAAUCACUUCGCGAGUUCUUAGUCAUAAAGACUUGCAGAGCUCCUAUUGAUAGGCGUCCUACCGAAACACAUGACUUUGGUGCAAGCACCAGAAGCUGUUCUCCGAUUGCUUUAUGACUUGGGACACCCUGCGGGGCCCAUCAUACUAGUACGACCAACAACGGGUUACCGGCAAGCCGCUGCGAUCAUCAUCACCGCCACGCUGCCACUACGUUCGUUCCGUUCGCUCACCACCACCGCCGUCGCCACCAUCACUGCCUGAACCUAAGCAUAACCCCGUUCGGGUAUCUGUUUCGCAGGGUUUCCCUUUCAGCCCGAGCACUGUCCUUGCAGAGUCGUUCUUGUUCCCACAUCCAUCUGCCUUUCCUGUCACUUCGACUUUCCUAACUCUAUUAAGGGCACGCCUUCCCCGACGACGCGUCGUUGACUUGUUUUAGUUAGUUACAGCAGUAUUAGAGUAAACCAAGCCAAGAGCCAAGCUAAGAGCCCACUUCCCCCACCUGCUGAACAACACCACAUUUUCCUUGUCGGCACUGCACCUGCUCCAAUGAAGCCACUCCCAUUGCACUCAUCUGGUCUCUAGGACCUUCUUGGUGGUACCCAGGCCCGAAAUGUUUGCUCCAUACGACAGCAAAGGUCUGAUCUGGACGUCAAAGCACCGUCGCAUAAAAUUCGCUGAAACCCUGCCUAACCUUUUUUCGUGUUUUGGGCAAAGAGGUCCAGGAACACCGGAAAGGCGGAAACCAGUUACCGGCCUUUACUGGGAAUGUUCAACAUUUUGGUCACACUUCCAUGCUGGCGUGGCAAUUCCAAACACCGGAGCUGCCCUCGGGAAGCGAUAAAUACAUCUGCUUUACCGCCUAUGAUAGAUGCGUAGAUGCAAAAGUUCAUCUGCGCGGAACACUAGAAGGCGGUGAAUGGGGUUACUUCGUCUCCAGACCGUUCUGUAAAGCCUUCACAUGCGUGGCAGAGUUAAAAUCUGUUCUAUGCCCUGUGCCGUGAGUCAUACUUCAAGAUACUGCUGGCGUGUAUACUAUUGUUUUAUGUAACCAAACCACAACUGGAUGGUGGCGUCGGAAGACACCGAUUGGAAGAGUUUCGUCUGCUUAAAUAGCGGGGGAUGCAGCCAUCACAUGAAUCGUACAGCCAGUUCCGAAAUGGCGCGGUCCAGUCCCGGAAUGGUGUACCGUUGAUCCAUGCUUCCAAUCGAUGCCGGGGCUCCGCGAGCCAGGGACCAGCGUCCCAGUCGUAGCUUUUGCUAUGACCCCCGCCCAUACUUCUGCAAGUAUGGACUUCCGCCUGAGGCGGCGUUUACUUGUAGGCAUCCAUGACAGCUGACCCAGAGGUCGGAGCCAUAAGAUCUGACAGAAAGGCGGCAAAAUAGGCAGUUGGAAUUCAGUUAGUUCCAGCGAACUUGUCCAGCAACCGCGCCAAGCGAGAAAGGAAAAACUAGACAGAAACGGUAUCAGUUUGGGACCAGAUUUAAGAAGCGGAAUACAACAACUAUCCCCCCUCUAGAUGCAGCAUCCUCGAUGCAUGGUAAGAAACUGGCAGAGCAGAAUAGUAGCGCGGGAGCUAAACACUUACCUUUAACCCCCAAAUCUUACCUCGCCCGUGCUCGUUGCCGUGCUUCUUCCAGCAGAGGUUUCAGACCAGGGGUCAAGUUAGCUUCUGGUUCGCAACUGUUGUGCUCAGCCGAGUACCCAGCCCAUUUGACAAGAUACUCGUGCACAGUGAGCUUACGGUGGCGGUUUCUGCCUACUUUUCGGGAACGGUAAUCCAGUAUCCGUUGAACCGCGUAAAAUGUCUGCUUGCCUGAAAGCCAAGUAACUGGUCCUGGCUCCGUGACCGUUAGCGCGUAAUAGCGGCGAGAGCCGACAGGUUACAGGACGGAUUCGCUCCGUCAAGUUCUGGGUUCGUUCCUUAGUAGGGAGCGUCAGAAGCGUGGGCUUCUGGAAUCUCUCUCACUGGUGUAUUGUUAGUUUGAUAGGUGGAUACGUAUCUAACCCAGGCUUCCUCCCGAGUAUAAAUACUCGUUGCUUAGGAGGCCGUAACAACUUCUAUUGUACGAUGUCCCUUCAGAUCCACAUUGGUUGCUCGAACCGAUGUGUCUGUAGGUAUCUCAAGUGCGUGUCAUUCCUUGGUUAGGAAGCACGCCUAAACUCCAAGAUAUUCGUAGACUGUUCGUAGAUCAGUCUUAUCAAGUCGUGUCUUAAUCACGCAGCGAUUAAGUUCUGUAACGCUCUAACGCGCUACAACAUCUGACCCCCUCUCUAGGCGCCUGCUUCCACGCGGCGCGCAGUCCAAUAGGCAUCAAUAAGAGAUCUAUCGGGGAAAGCAGGUUCUUCAAUCCAACUGUUAUUCUCAUGUCCAUGACCAACCCAUUUCACGAGAUAUCGUGUCAGGGUUCGGUUUCGGAGUUUCCGUUGAUCAUGAUCUAGGAUGCGUUCAGGUGUCCAUACAGAGGUAGAACCUUCAAGUUCCAUUCCCACUGUAGGGCGAGGUGGUUGUACGGUGCCAUCAGAUCGAUAAGGUCGUAACAACGAUACAUGGAAUGCUAUUCCAUGUACGUAGUACGUUAUGGAAACGAUAUUCCUCUGGAAGGGUCAGUCUAGCAGCAGCAGGAUUGAUCAUCUUCUCAAUCGUGAAAGGUCCAAUCCAUUAGGUAAAAGCUUCUUCGAAGCUUUCUGGAGGGUUAAAUUCUUCGUACUGAGUAAGACUUGUUGUCCUUCAGUAAACGACACAUCACGUCGUCCUUUAUUCUCUUGCUUAGUCAUUCGAUCUUGCGCAGCCAUCAAAGCAGAUUUAGCAGCAGCAAGUUCCUUGGCAUAACCCUUAGCAACGGGAACUGCGUCACCGAGUUCGAGUUGUACAGGGGUCUUAGGAUGAUAGCCAUAAUUCAGGAAGAAUGGACUAACUCCUGUCGAGCAGUUCUUCGAGUUAUUAAUCGCAAAUUCGGCCGGUCCGAGAUAUAUCUCCCACUGUGAAGGUUCCUGAUCACAGUAGUUUCUCAACAUGUCUCCAAGGACGCGGUUAACUCGUUCUGUCUGACCAUCAGUCUGAGGAUGGAAAGCAGUACUCAUCGCCUGCUUCACCUCUAGCCUCUUCAUGAGAGAGGUCCAGAAAGCACCAGUAAACUUGGUGUCACGAUCUGAGACGAUGGUGUCUGGUAAUCCGUGAAGCCGUACCACGGUGUCAAAGAAUAAAUCUGCAGUUUCUUCUGCAUCUAUUUCUUUCUUGCAUGGUCGUACAUGCACCAUCUUAGUCAGUCGGUCUACAAACACCACAAGGGAGUUGUAACCUUUUCUAGUCGAGGGCAAUCCGAGUACAAAGUCCAUUGAGACGCUACUCCAAGGUCUUUCAGGAAUCGGCAGAGGUCGAGAUAGACCUAGCGGUUUGCCUGAUAAAGCCUUAUUCCGUUGGCAGAGAUCGCAGCAUGCGACAAAGUCUGCAACGUUAGCUUUCAACGUAGGCCACCAGAAAUUCCGUUCAACCAAAUCAAUGGUUCAACUUUGGAAGUUGGCGAACUUUCAGAGGAGGAGAGCGCGCCUGGCGGAGGCUGCUGGCAGGCGACCCGUGACACACUCUGUCCAGUGCCGCCAAAAGUUGGCGAACUUUCAGAGGAGGAGAGCAUGCCUGGCGGAGGGUGCUGGCAGGCGACCCGUGACACACUCUGUCCGGCGCCGCCAAACGUUGGCGAACUUUCAGAUGAGGAGAGCACGCCUGGCGGAGGCUGACGGCAGGUGACCCGUUACACACUCUGUCCGGUGCCGCCAAAACUUGGCAAACUUUCAGAGGAGGAGAGCACGCCUGGUGGAGGCUGCUGGCAGGCGACCCAUGACACACUCUGUCCGGUGCCGCCAAAAGUUGGCGAACUUUCAGAGGAGGAGAGCAUGCCCGGCGGAGGCUGCUGGCAGGCGACCCGUGACGCACUCUGUCCGGCGCUGCCAAAAGUUGGCAAACUUUCAGAGGAGAGAGCACACCCGGCAGAGGCUGCUGGCAGGCAACCUGUGACACACUCUGUCCAGCGCCGCCAAACAUUGGCGAACCCAAUCGUCCUGAGCAGCUUGUCGGUGAUGCCAGUGUUCAACACGCACAGGUUGCAUGUGUGGGACGCAUGCAUCAGCCACAGGCACUCCUGGGUGAACCCGCCAUCCAAUGCCUUGUCCAGAAUGAUGACCAUGACGUCCAGCGGCAACGGUGCGCAAGGCACAGGGUCUGCCACCAGACGCAAGCGAACGGCAACAUUGCACAGCUCGUGCACAGAGAUUGUGUGGGGGAUGGGUGCAGUCCGGGAGUGCACGGUGGCGGUCUCCACCUGACGUGCACCAUGCACCUUGAUCCUCUACUGCUCUUCCUUGUUCCUUGGCAUUGUUGCAGGUGCAAUGUCACUCUCACAAUCUCCCAGUGCAAUCCGCACAGGGUGUCCCACUACAGUGCAGUAGUUGCAGUGGAAUUCCCAUGUGCGGAAAGAUCACCAUGCCCCCCAUGCCCCCACGGCAAUUUGACAACAUCCGAGACGUGUACAUGGAAGGGGAUGUCGGUUUCGUCGGUGUCGAGAAGCUGCUUGGCAAGGUCAAGCACGGGCAACUGCAGCUGCCACCCGAGCAGACAUGCAGCAGUGCCGCUCAGCAGGCAUACCGCAACAUUUCGACAGUGCAGCACUUUCACCUGCAUCUGAACUCCUACUGCAAUGGGUAUUUUUUGUGCAUCACGGCGCCCCCUGGUGUGUUCCAAAUCGACACGAUGCACCUUCCACACGAUGGCAUGAGCUCGGUGGUGUUCACGCUGGUGAUCAUGCACAUCCUGCCACGCUAUGCAUUCGUCUACCUCAUGCACACCAAGGUGAACGACAGUGUCAUGGAUGCAUUUCGAAAGUUUGUCAGAGAGUUGCACGACUUCCCCAUCUUCCAUGCGCACCUGGCCAACGACGGCGCCAAGGAUGAGUGGCCACGGUACUUCAGCCUGGAUGGCGACCGCGCGGUGUACAUUGGUGGAGUGGAGGGCAAAUCGUGGGGACUGGUGGGCAUGGUCACCCAGGCCCUCGAAUGGUCGGACCGUGGCCUGGGCAGGGCUUCUCAAUGAAGGUACAGCUGAUGGUAUGGCUGAUGGAUAACCGAAUGAAUGUUGUGCACAGGGACGUAUUGUGAAGUAAUAGGUAAUGGGAGUGGCACAUUACUAUGCAAAUCGACAGAAAUUGCUUGGGGCCCGUUCCAUACGUUGACUGACUAAAUCCUUCGUUGGAUAGUUGAUUGUUGGGGCAUGUCUGCUUCGCUUGUAUACUGGGGCGACUUUCUGGUGCCAGCCAGUACUAGUUUUCGAAGGGUCUUACCCGCGGGUCCAGAGCAGUAGGGGCCCUCAUGGUCGGUCUUGUGGAUGAUUUCAGCACUAUGAACUUAUUUCAGAAUACAGGACUGACUCUCUGUUUCCUGCUUGAACUAUAUAUGGAAGGGGCAAACCACUGUAACUUGUGCGUGUUUCUGCUAAGUUUUCCGCACUGUUUGCAUUCUCAAAGCCAUUCUUUCGUAAAACCGUCAUAAGAAUGCUUGAGACUGGCAUAAGAUCAUUCUCAGCAGCACCAGCAUUCUCAAGCCGUUCUUAGCAUUCUUAGCGUUCUCAGGAACAUUCUUUAGCACGCUUCCAUUUUGGUAGGGAGAGAUAAGGAACGUAACUUGGCAUGGCAGCAAUUCCUAUGAAAGCAAGUACCAUUUGGAAGGUUGUUUGCUUUGUUUCAGCACGUACAUACGCAGAGACGCGCAACGGACGAAGCUGCAGCAUCAUCACAUGGAUUCACCAGCAGAGCACGAAAUGGAUGGACAAACCGAUCAUGAUUUGCCAAUGGUGGAGGCACACAGGAUGAGGGAUGUAUAGGUUUUUAAGUAGAGCUUCAGGCUAUCCUUCAAUUCAGACGUACUUCCAUGGGGUGGAAAUGAUGGCUGCGUGUGGCAAUGUGUCGAUGCAUAUGCAAGGCCAGUCCAGGCCACUGACUCGGAGCUAAUCGAGCUAGCUAACUGAGCCUAUCAUCGAUGAUAUCAUGACGUCAGACUUCCAUUUUCAGUCUACUAAACAAGGCAGGAAAGAAGUAAACUACUGUACAAGAAGCAGAAAGAAAUAGGAAAGAGAGGCCGAAACAUGAAGCAGAUCAUUGCAAAUCCCGCCGCCAAGAACAGACAGGCAUAGUCUCAGAAGGCGACCUCCCCACAGCACAACUUGAGCACAUACAGUAGGAUGGCAGCCACACAGCACCAGAAAGUCAGUAGGGAACUGAGACUGAAAUCGUGCCCACCGCGGAAAAUCACACGCCUGCUAGCGUGGCGUACUCCCACAUCGGCACGCAGCAUGAAAAAGCUUAGUGGUCGUUUGCGGUGCAUCCUUCCGGCUUUGGGCACAACAAGCAAGUGAGAACUGGGCGAGAAAGCAGCCGCUUCGUCCUGCUGGAAGCAAGUCCGCAGCCACGUCCAGGAACACUCUUAGAGCAUGAACGGGUCGAAUGCGAAAGGUGCCAUAGCUUUACAAAGAGCACCUAUCCGGCUCAGCUCAGCAACAACCUCACUACUCAACUAGCAUCCUAGACCGAUGAGACAAGCAUCAGCGUAGCCUCUUGUACCAGCAAAACGGUUGUCCAAUGAGUACGGAUUAGGGCUCUGAAGUGCAACCGAAACCAACCACCAAAUAUGCAUAAGGCAAGCACACUGCCUGACAACAUUUCAUUCAACCAGGAAAUUUCAUGAAUUCGAGAGCUCAUAAUUAACUUUCAAUUUGAAACGCGUUAGUCGAUUCUUCGCUGGUCUUCACGUCCCUCCAAUGCCGAAAUUAUGUACCAAAAGGCAAUGCAGACCGCCCAGGGGAACCUAUGACAGCAAUAAGCAGGCUCACGAAGGGUUUGCACAUCGGUUCCCUUUAUUUGUCGUCACUGCGACGGGCUUAAUCAACCGCUCGUCCAUGAAAUGCUGAAGUGCUGAUCUCACAUUUUCCUUGUUCACACAAGGAACAUAUACAUAUCUAAUAUGAAAUUUUCACGUUUCCCUGUGUCCCGCUGUUUUUGUCGUCUCGCAUAUGAUACAUCCUCCUUCUCAUGAAGGUUCCAUCGAUGGCAAAGGUGCUAAUUUUCAAUUAAACUUGAUCUACCUGUUCAUGUAUACUGGAAAAUUCGCGCUCUGCUGGUAUCUGCCAGGUGUCCGCUUCCUAAUGUGGUGAUUGAACCCCUUUGUUUCUCCUUUCUGCCUACAUUCAUCCUAUACAUACUCCGUUGCCUUAUCUAUAAUGACAAUAUACUGUCAUAAACGUUAUGCCCCUUUUGACCUGCCUCGACAUCCAUCCUUUUCAUUUUUGCUUUGGUUAAGUUUAUUUUGCGUGGAGAACAUGCUAGAAAGGUCUAGUCAGUACAACAAGGCUUUCGCAAAAGUCCAAUUUCGCAAACGGGCUCCGCCUUUUCCUUGUCCCCGAGAAACUGCGAAGGGGAAACCGCGAAGGAGAAAUCCCGAAGGGAAAACACCGAAGUGUUAACCCAAAGAGUUAACUACUAAACCAAAGGGAACCAAAGUCAUCACCCUUUGGUUUAUUUGUUAACCCAAAGGGGUUCGUUACGUAGCCCGACAAGGCCGAAAACUGUAACGUUUCCUGAAACAAUGUGACAAUUUCACAUUGUAAUGACAAAAGGAAUAAACCUUUUGUUUCCCCUCCGGGUUGAUCCCCGGAGGGGAUGAAGGGAACCAAAGGCAACCCAUAGUGCCUAUGGGUUGUUGUGAUAUACUAUUACAUUUUAUAUCUGGACUUUUUAAGUGAUUAGUUGUUGCUCCAUAGGUAAAUGCCAUGCCAUUUUCUGUUACAUGUAAUGAAAGAGAGAAAAGGACUGAGAGGCCCGAAGAAGACGGGCCUUACGAAGUAACGCGCGCUGAACAACAAAAACAAGAUAAGCUAACCAGCUUAAUGCGCGCAAUAAAUCUCGGCCCUGAGGACACGGGCCGUUGCGAAACAGUUAGUCUAACAGUUACGCAUUGGGCCUUACGCCCAACUAACCCAGCUUACUUACGCAAGCUCGCAUUAGUUGUUGCUCCAUAGGUAAAUGCCAAAGGAGAAGAUACCCCCUCUAGCGGAACUGAGCACCAAAACGACGCAACGCGACGGGCCGCUAGAGGGACAAAGGACGCGAGAGCUGCCAGACAGGCACGCACACCGACACGAAAGAGAGCUCCCCAAGCAAAACGCCUCAACGACCUCCAAACGGUACCCCAGCAGCAAGGACAGCGGACACGCCACCUCUACGCAGGCAAAGAGCGAACAAACAGAACGCUGCCAAAAACCACAAGUACGAGGUCAAACCAGCGCUCUCCAACCACGCACAGACUGACCCACCGGCCACAAACGCGACGGAUCCCUCAACAACGGCUGACGGACGCCCACUGAAGGAAGGGACGAUAGACACGCGAGAAUGCCAAACAUGUGCCCGCUAAGGGUUGACCAAACGGCCAACUAGGGCUUGAACUGAAACACCGGCUCUGCAAUAACGACCGCUCCACGCGCCCAGGGCACUGACAGCAGGGAUACGGACGACGAAACCCAGCACGACAAACAGCAAAGUCGGGCCACCUCCGAACCAACGGGUACAACGGCCAACUGUUCAAAGAAGCCACACAGCAUCUGCAAUAAAGGCCAACACAAAGAGAGCCUGACAGAGCCACGGAGCGCUGCAAAUGCGACCAACUACUAUAAAAAUGCCGCCAGCAGGGGCUGUCUCCAGCACAGGGCGCUUGGGUAACCGAGCAAGUCAUACACGGAGCUCACGGAGUUCACGGAAAAUAAGGCUGAGCAGCACGGGCUUGGAUAAUCUCUUGGCAACUAGAACUGACCCCACAGGAGCCCGACAUAAACGGAGUCAGAAAGAGCCCCAGCCUACCGCGACACAGAAAACGCACAAACACAGCGAAGCAAAGCUGCCAGGUCUUAGCACCAACCCUGGGACAAGGCAACCUGGCAACCGGCAAAGACAUGCGGAAUGGACCAACCUAGGCCGGCGAGCGACAGCUGCGAUACCAACAAGUUAUCAAAGACCGGGGAUGUCGCAACGGAUUGCAGAUCCAGCAAGAAACCGGGACCUAUUCCGCGCCAAAGGCACUACUCAAACUUGGUCCCAAAACCAGCGGGGAGGGAACCAGCAGAACCACCGGAUACCAAGCAAGCGAAAACGCUCCGAAAUCACGAGAAACAAACGCAGGCUUAACACAAAGCGACGAAAAAACCAACUACCUGCGCGGUGUCUAUGGAGCGCACACCUUAACACAACAAAUCCCUUCCUAUUCGCUCCACAUAACUGCAUAACUGCUCCCCUGCGCAAAGCCACUACAGCGUUACCUCAAAGACGGUCCCACUGCCCCUACAACAUAUAACGUGCCCCACGGGGAAGGGGGAAUGCUAGGAAAGCGCUCCUAGCGGGGCACACACGGCCGAACUUGCAGCGCCUCACGGAACGACCGAGUGCUAUGCAAAGCGCCCACAUGACGACUGCACCCGCACUGCCACGACCUGCCAAGAAGGGGGUGGUAGGUAGGUGCUCGACCCACCCUCGCCCUGCGCAAACAGCUCCGUAUUGGACGGCAGGAACACAAUGUCAACCGCCAACUCCAUCAACUGUUGCCACCAAGGUUGGGCCGUCCAGUACGGCACGACUAGGGUGAGGCACCCUCCCUCCUCGCGCACUUUCUGCACCACAGCGAGCAAGAAGUCAGGGUCCAAGGGUGGGCAGCCAUAUGCAUUAAGCCCAGCCCACGAUUGCAAGAGAGCAUUGACCCCCGACGAACCCGGACAAUGGUGGCGAGAAAAGAAAACCGGGAGGUGUGUGUUAAUAUGCGUGGCAAACAAGUCGACAUGGUGCGGACCGAAGCGGUGCUCCAAAAGGCGGAAAAACCGGGGAUGCAAGCGGUAGUCAUCGCGAUCGACCCAACGCGAAGCUUCAUCUGCCUCGUUGUCAGCACUAGCCACACGCUCGACUUGCAAAACAAUACUAUGCUUCUGCAUGAAUUCCCAUAAUAAUUUUAGUUCGGCAUGCAGAGCUGCCGAGCGCGAGGAAAGACGCCCUAGCACUGCUUGCGUGCACAUGUUGUCCUCCCUAAUUAACACAACACGCUGCUGAACGAACGGGAGAAAGGACUCUAAAGCAUGACGGACAGCGCGCAACUCCUUCCAAUUGAUGUGCUCGUAGAGCUCUGGUGCCGACCAAUAACCGCGCGCCACACGACCAUGCAGGACCGCGCCCCACGAAUGGCAUGAUGCAUCCACUGAAAGCUCAACUGCAGCAGGACCCUGGUGAAUAGCCGCCGAGCAGUGGUGGGUAGGGAUGUCCGCCCACCAAUCUAAGUCACGUAACGACCCACGGGACAAGCGAACUCGACCGGACCAGCCAACCGGUUGCUUAAUGUCGUCGUAAAAAUUGUGGAGAAAUAAAGGCGCUGGAGUAAGGGCCAAUUUGACACUCUGCGCAAAACCGCAAAACUUAGCCAGCUCACGCUUCUGGACAAGACGCCGAUUUUUCAUAGCCGUGAUCCGCAACCCGAUCGCCAGCCGCCGCAAUUUGGCGAGCUUCUGCUUAGGCACCUCAAACACACCAGCUGCCGUAUUGAUCGUAAUGCCUAAGUGGUACACUGCCUGGGACGGCUCCCACUGGCACUUGGUGGGGUGACACGACAACCCCAAGAACUCGAUACUCUCACGCACCCAGCGUGCACCAAGACGUGCUUGCUCCUCAGAAGUAAACACGAAGAGGAAGUCAUCCAAAUACGGCAGCACUCGCGCACCCGGACGAGAAGGACGCCCUGUCCGGGAAACGGGAAAAAACUGGUGGGGCGGGAGCGGGGGCGAGAGACGCUUGCGACCUUUACCCGACGCAGCCAAAGGAUCCCGCCAAAAGCGCACCACAUUGCGCAUGAUUUUCGUAAACCAAUACGGACUAUUUAGCCACCCCAUAGGUAAGGCGUUCAUCUCGUACAGAACACCACAAAAACGAAAAGUGAAGAAACGCCGAUCCGCUGGGCGAAUAGGGAUGUGGUAAAAGGCGUCCGCCAAAUCCACCUUCACCAUCCAAGAGCCCUCGAGGCCCAUACGCCGCAGGGUGCGGAGGGUUUCGUACCGGCACUUGUAAGCUUUCUGCGCUACGUUCAUCCUCUUCAGGUUAACAACCAAACGCCAAGAACCACUGUCCGGUUUCGGGACACAAAAAGCGUUCACCACAUGAUCAACCGUACGGGAGGGGUCUACCCGCGAGAUGGCCCCGAGAGCCACCAGGCGAGGCUCCUCCUUCUCCAACCACCAACGGCUCUGUUCGUCUGUAGCAGGAAAACUUGGCAGGUCAAAAGCAGGCGGCGGGCGGUUACCUCGAAACUCCACCGGGACACCAUGCUUCAAGACGUGCAAAGUGCGCGCAUCUGCUCCAAUUGCCUUCCAAGCUGUAACGAGCAUGAGCUGUUACAUUACUCUCAUUCGCCUAUUCGUUAUCGUUCGUCGGUGAAGUUUGGCCUUCGCCAUAGGGCCUUCAUCUAAUCUGGUUCGCUUUGCCGUACUUCCGUCGGUGGCCGGUCGAUAAGACGGCUCACCACCCAUCACUCGGGGUCUUUCGGUCCCACCACACAAGUGGAAUGCUUCUUAAAUAGGCUUGAUCAUUACAUUGGUAUCGAGACUUCUCGAUCCUAGUCUACUUCGCUUCCGCCGUCGUAUCUCAUGUCUGCUGCUGACCCUGUCGCGGCCAUUGCCGACCGCGACAAUGCUGUUGUUCAAGUCAUUAAUCGCGCUUCUUCUUUGUCGCUUACGGAGAAGGCGCCUACGUACCCGCGUUUCGACAAGUUGCUGGAGAUGUCUCCGGAUUCUCUUGAAAACCAGCAACUGACCCUGGCGCAGGGUUGGACUUUACAGAAAAUAGCAAUCCAAGAUGAACUCCAGCGAUGCGGGCUGCCAAUCCAAUCAGAGGACGUCGCGGUUGCUUUCAUCGCGGCGCUGGAACCCCGUUGUCUUCGCUUGGCUUUACACUCGGCUGUAGUUAUGCAGGGUGGAUUCUUUCCGAGUUUCGAGUGGCUUGAGGAUUGGUUCCUCAAGAACUGCGGCGAGAAUCCUGGGGGGGCUAAGUUUUGUGAACAGUUGGGCACAUCUGUUGGCGUUAGCACGUCCUGUGUGCAAGACUGCCCCGUUCCCAGUUGCGAGCCUCCGCUUCCGGCUCGUUCGUCUCGUUCGCCUGUCGCUGCUUCGCUAUCGCCUACCUCGUUGGGUACGGCUUCGUUUGGUAAUGCAAGUUUACUUCGUCUAAACAGACUUCGCCGUUGGUGCAACUCGCGCGUCAGGACGCUGUUGUCUUUGCUGCUCUUAUUGCAGAGCCUCGUCGAUCUUGUAAUACUAAGACUAAUUCGAGCGUUCCGAUUGCCUCUGCACUUAUUCCGUCGACUCGUAUACUUCGCACUUCCGAAUUCGAGCAGCUUCAGCGUUUGACUGUCGUCGACGGGAUUCGUUUGCCCCUCAGCUAUGUGCCCCAAAUUCAGUUCGACUCCGCACAGCUUUCUGUCUUCCAGCUGUGCCGGACAUCACGUUUUCGUUCAUCCGCCUCCCGCUCAUGCUAGGGAGUAUCUGUCGCACUACUUGAACUGCAAAAGUCUCGCACCGCAGUCAACAUCAGGUGGUUUUCUGUUGCCUAUGAUAAGUGUCGUUCUUCGUUGUCCGGCAUGACUCAGCUUCGCACGUACCACGCUGGUUAUCACCUGUAUGAUGUUGUGGCUGCGGUAGGCAGGCGUCGUUCUGCAGGUUUAACCAGUCCUGUCGAGUUCUGGUACGACCCUCCGGUAUCUGCUUCUGAUGCUGACGUCGCCCCCUUACCUUUCUCCGUUUCGGAAGGUUUGACUAUGCAGUUUCGAGGUAAAGUGUGUCAGUCCGAUGCUUCCAUCCUCAUCGAUAGCGGAAGCAUGCCUUCAGCCCUUUUAAGUGCAGGUUUUGCUCGACGCAUCGGUUUGGCGGUUCAACCGUCGGACAACACACAUCCCGCCCUCACCGUCACUUUGGGCGAUGGACGGACUACGACUUCGGUAGGGUUUGCUGAGGUACCUAUUCGUUUGCAGGGUUACAAGGCUCGGUUGCAGUGUGCUGUGCUUGAUCUCGCUCCUGGUUAUGACUUGGUGCUGGGUGACCCCUGGGUUACGUCUGUCGGUGCUGUGCUUACCCCGUAUGCCUGCAGCGCGCGUUUAACUCGCCAUCCUGGUCAACCUGUACUGAAGUCUAGCCCUUUUCCUAACCUACCCCCGUUGGAAGAGCCCUGUCAUGUCGGCUUUAUGCAGGCCAUUCGUGAAGGUUAUGAGUUCCUUCUCUGCAUGGUCUCUACUGUCGACUCGACCUCUUCCGCGUCUCCGCCCUCUGCUUCGCCUGAGCUGUCGUCUUUUGCUCAAAAGGUUUGCACUGUGGUUCCGGGCGACUCUCCUGCUGAGUUACGAAUGCGUGCUUUGCUGUUAGAUAAGGAGGGCCUGUUUCCGGACCAGUUGCCGGCUGAUCUGCCGCCCGAUCGUGGUUUGCCUUCCGUCAUCCCGCUAGAGCCUGGUUCUCGUCCGCCUGCUCAGCGUAUGUUCCGCUAUUCGCAAGCUGAACGUGACGAAAUGCAACGCCAGAUUACGCAGCUGUUGUCGCAGGGCUUCAUCGAGCCAUCUUCGUCGCCCUUCGGUGCGCCUAUUCUGUUCGCACGCAAAAAGGAUGGUACGCUUCGUAUGUGCGUUGAUUAUCGUCAGCUCAACCGCAUCACCAUCAAGAAUCGAUAUCCGUUGCCGCGUAUUGACGAUCUCCUCGAUAGGUUGCGUGGUGCAUCUGUCUUUUCGUCGUUAGACCUUACGCAGGGUUAUCACCAGUUGCUUAUUCGCGAGGAUGAGCGUGAGCGUACUGCUUUCCGCACUCCUUUUGGUCAUUUUCAGUACAAGGUGAUGCCUUUCGGUCUAACUAAUGCUCCGUCUGUCUUUCAGUCCGCAAUGAAUUCCAUUUUGCAGGACCUUCCGUUCGUUGUGGUCUACCUCGACGAUAUUCUCAUCUUCUCGCGUACCGCUGAUGAGCAUGUCGACCACGUUCGUACGGUUCUGGAGCGUCUGCAGCAACAUCGGUAUUACUGCAAGCUCUCGAAGUGUGAGUUCUUUAAGCGUUCUGUCACUUUCUUGGGACACGUAGUUUCGCCUGAGGGUGUUCGUCCUGAUCCGCGCAAAACUGCUGUCGUACAAGAGUGGCCGAAGCCUCGCAACAUUUCGGAGUUACGUUCGUUUCUUGGUCUUGCCAACUACUUUCGAAAGUUUUUGCAGGGCUAUUCGCAGAUGGUCGCUCCCCUUACGUCCCUUCUGUCGUCCAAAGCUCGCUGGCCUGAGGACUGGGACGAAGGAUGUGAUCGCGCCUUCGAGCAGGUCAAGAAAGCCUUGUCUUCCGCUCCUCUGCUGGCCCUUCCAGAUCCGUCGCUGCCUUAUGAGGUUAUCGUCGAUGCGUCGGAUUUUGCCAUAGGUGCUAUUCUGCUUCAGCAAGGUCGUCCGAUCGCUUACGAAAGUCGUAAGUUGAUUCCUGCCGAACGUAACUACCACACUUCUGAUCGUGAGUUGCUGUCUCUCGUUCAUGCACUCAAGGUUUGGCGUUGUUACUUGGAAGGUGCGAAGUUCACUGCCGUCACCGACCAUAAGCCCAACCUUUCGUACCCGACGCAAGCUCAACUGUCUCGACGUCAGGCGAGGUGGUUGGAAUUUCUUGAGUCUUUCACGUUCGACUGGCAAUAUCGCGCAGGAGUUUGCAAUCCCGCAGAUCCUCUGUCUCGGUUCCCGGGACACAGUCACGCGUGUCUGAUGAUGGCAAUUUCGACUCGCGCCACUCCGAGUGGGGAUGCUUCCGCCUCUUCCGCUGGCGUCAUCUCAGAGAUAUCGACCUCUUUUCCAGACUUAGAGCGGUCGCUUGUCGAAGGUUAUUCGUCUGAUCCUUGGUUCGCCGAUCCGUCUAAUACGGCGUCUCUGCAAAAGCAUGAUCGUUUCUGGUACAAACAACAUGCUCUUGUGAUCCCUAAUGAUUCCAAACUUCGUUCGCACAUUCUGCAUCUCUGUCAUGAUCAUCCGAUGGCGGGUCAUGGUGGGGUGGCCAAAACGUUGGACCUGGUUCGUCGUCAGUUCUGGUGGCCGAAACUUCGUACGUGCGACAGUUGUCAGCGCGUUAAGUGCUCUAACGAUCUUCCUGCUGGGAAGCUCCUUCCGUUGCCCAUUCCUGGCAAAUCGUCACUAUGGAUUUCAUUACGGAUCUUCCUUCUGAUUCGGAUGGGUAUACGGCAAUCUACGCCUUCGUUUGCAAGCUUACCAAAAUGACUCACCUUGUUCCGUGUCGCAAAGAAAUCACUGCGGUGGAGUCUGCUAAGCUUUUCGUUGAUACCGUUGUUCGUCGGUAUGGUUCCCCCGCGAUCCUUGUUUGUGAUCGGGAUCCGCGUUUCCGUUCCGCUUUCUUCACGCAUCUGUGUGAGGAUGUGUCUAUCGACCUCCGUUUCAGUUCGGCUUAUCAUCCGCAAACUGAUGGUCAAACUGAACGUGUGAAUCGUACCCUCGAGGAUAUUUUGCGUCACUGCGUUGCCGGUGAUUAUCGAUCCUGGUCUCGUUUCCUUUCCAUGGCUGAGUUCGCCAUGAAUAACUGGGUGCAUUCCUCUACCGGUACUUCUCCGUUUCGUCUGAUGUACGGUUUCGAACCUCUGACUCCUAGUUCUCUCUUGGCUCGCCAAGUGGGGGGGGAGAAGGCGCGUGCUCUUCGCAACGCCGUUUCCGUACGUUUUGCAUCUGACAUGCAAGGUGCGCUUGAGCGUGCUAAGCGUUGUUUGGCUGCACAACGUGAUCGUAUGAAGCGUUUUGCUGAUCUCAAGCGUUCGGAACGUCAGUUCAAGCUUGGAGACGUCGUGUUGUUGAGCACUCAACACAUGCGUCUUGAAGGUCCAUGCAAGUUGCUUCCUCGUUUUAUCGGACCGUACGUUAUUAAGGCUAAGAUUAACGACGUCGCUUAUCGUUUGGACUUGCCUAAUGGAACGCGUAUUCAUGACGUAUUCCAUGUGUCUCUGUUACGGCCUUACUAUGAGAGUGAUCGUGCUCCGAAACCUCCGCAACCGGAGAUUGUGGAUGGUGAAUUGGAAUUCGAAGUCGAGGCAGUCCUUGAUCAUCGUGACGUGACACAAAAGCGUCAUCGCACUCGGUUCUUUCUAAUGCGUUGGAAGAAUCAAGGUCCAGAGUACGACUCGUGGGAACCAGAGUCGAACCUGACUAACUGUGCAGAUUUGCUGCGUUCGUAUUGGCAGACACGUAAAACAGCUGCUACCCUCGCGUCCCAACCUAAACCAGGAGUCACGCCUGUUGUCUCGCCGUCCUCCGUCUCGGACGUUCAUAAAACCAGAUCUGGGAGAGGUGUUCGUAAGCCUCCUCGUUUCUCUGCAUUUCUUCGGACUUUAUCUACUGCCAGUGGGGUGCCUGCGACUCUGCUUUUCCAUGCGCAAGCGUGGCGGCGUGGAUAAGUCGGCUGUCGGGACGACCAGCCAAUUAGGGGGGGAAGUAUGUAACGAGCAUGAGCUGUUACAUUACUCUCAUUCGCCUAUUCGUUAUCGUUCGUCGGUGAAGUUUGGCCUUCGCCAUAGGGCCUUCAUCUAAUCUGGUUCGCUUUGCCGUACUUCCGUCGGUGGCCGGUCGAUAAGACGGCUCACCACCCAUCACUCGGGGUCUUUCGGUCCCACCACACAAGUGGAAUGCUUCUUAAAUAGGCUUGAUCAUUACACAAGCGGCCAGCCGCGUCGAGGCCCUAGCAUGCAGGGGCACGGAGGUGGUGGACAUAUUGGACUAAUCGUGCUGCCCCGGAAACUCCACGCCUGGGGUGGUAGAGCCCGUCGCCACGCGGAAGGGAUGGGACGAAGCGCAGACAUAGUCACCACCGGUGUGGGCGGACGUCGAUUUCCUGAUCCGCUGAAGAGCAAACCUUCAGCGUCGCGCCCAAACCUCGGGGAUGAGCUUGAUAAAAUACGUCGUCAAGAGGACAUUUAGUGUUGUAGCUGCAGGGGCAAGCUUGUUGGGUCCGGGAUGGGCGGGAGUUGUUGACCCGCUCCAGGGGGCAUAAACUGCGUCGCAGAAGCCCUCGAGGAAAUGCCAGUCUGUGACAUUCCAGUUAGCUAUGUAGGAUAGCUGUGAGUUGCCUCCACCAGCGGAGUCAUGCCUAGCGAUACCGGGACAUGCGCCGCCACUAGCACUACUAAAGGUGCUUCAAUAAGGUGGGCUAACUCUAUGGUGCUAGUGCUUUAUAUUCUCCACUGCACUCUACCCGAUGGGUCUCGCUGACGAGCCGAAGGCACAGCGGUGUAGUAACAGAAAGCGCGCCGAAGGCGCGGGACCUGUUUUGUUGAUCAGCGCGCGCUGAACAACAAAAACAAGAUAAGCUAACCAGCUUAAUGCGCGCAAUAAAUCACGGCCCUGAGGACACGGGCCGUUGCGAAACAGUUAGUCUAACAGUUACGCAUUGGGCCUUACGCCCAACUAACCCAGCUUACUUACGCAAGCUCGCAUUAUUGCAAGCUACACCCAAAUCGAUAAUCAACAGUAGUACGGAAUACCCACAUAUACACACGGAUAUCUCUUAGAUAGAUUUUGAGGACGUCUUAUGUACACAUGUUUUUUGCGAACACAAUAUUGUAAUAAAGGAUUCAGGGGAAUAGUCCUCUGAUGCAGCAAUGCAUCCUGCAGCAGAUUCUGGCCGUAAAAAUGCUAGACUGCCAUAAAGCAUUCCAGCAACGAAGUAUAGAUUGCGUCUUGAUACGUUCUAUGGGUACAUGCAAGACUUCAUCUCCAAUGGCCUCUACAGCGUUUGGGUGCGGGACGCCUAUGUUAUCCCUUCAGCAGAACAAUAACGUAAUAGUGUGCAGGCAUGAUGCGAAUUUGCUUACGGAAGGCCCUUGAUAAAGUCUUAAUUGGGUUGAGGAAAUGUCAUAAUUAUAAAAGAACUUUAUUUUUGGUUCAGGGUGAAUUAUGAACGGUGGAUAGCAAGCUCGCUGCUCGCUAGCUUGCUCGCUGGUCAGGCUGGCCUACCUCAUUGCGAGCUGUACGGAAACCGCCGUGGGGCUGGCGACGAUACUUGUCAGCUUUUAAGGAUGUUUUGCUUUACUUAGGCCUUUAUGCUUGCAUUGGCUCGGUAUAUGGCCCCAAUGGAGCCGCCUUGGUGCAUGUGGCAGGCGUAGAUUGAAUUGUUUAUUCCUUCAAUCGCGACCAUGGCUUUUGGAGCGAAGAGCUCCCUAUUGGUUAUCUUAGCGGUUGCUUCAUGGGCUCGGAUUAUGAAUACGGGUGGGUGUCUGCUAGUCAUGCACUGGUCCACGCACUUACUUGCAGCCAAUUGGCUGGCGUCAUGCAUGGCAUCAAGCAAGCAUAACGUUAUUUCAAGGCUUAGACGUGCUUGCUCCACGCAAUACUGCAAGGUGGUAGGGAUGGAUUACUCAGCCUGCUUGAACGCGCACGGAACAGGAAUGGGAAGGAUAGCCACGAAUACUGAGGCCGAUGCUAGUAUCCAGUAGGCACGAAGUAGCUGAGGCAGUUUGUUUAAGAACAACUCCGAGAGCAACAAGGUCGCGUCGUGCAAGCUUACCGACAUUAUACAUAUAAAACUUUGCAUGCAUGUGCAGCAGGUUUAUCGCUGGCAGUGGCCGCUGCUGCUGCUGGAAACGACAGCAGCCACCACUUGCGGCGCUCUUUGGGGGAGACAACAAGUUCCAACAUGUCGACACUUGCUGCCGUCACCAGUAAGUUCCUUUACUUCCUUCACGCCUGCUAUGUAUGUGUUUGCUCUUGGCCAUGCGGGAAGCAAGAUAAGGUAUAACAAUUUGGGACUUACUUAUGAUGAAUAGGGUGAUUUGCUGGUGGUCAAAUCAAAAAAGUCAAAUCCUAUUCCAACAGAUCGUCCGAAAGGAUCUAUUGUCAGUGAAUGAUCAAAGCCCAACCAUACACGUGGGGCAAACAUGCACCAAUCCUUGCCGAUCGGGCCCAUGAGUUUUCGAAGCCAGACCGUGCAAACUGGACUGCUGAUCAGAGACAUGCCUCCGUCUGCAAAUUUCUGCUACUUGGUAACCCUUCGAACAAAAGGGGGCUCUGGCACCGAGGGCACAAAAAUGCUGAUCGCCCAUAUGUAUUCGUCCCAGCUGCCAAUGGCAUUUCCAACUUCCAGUACUACUGGUCUCAAUAAGCAAGAGCGUGUGGUGGAUUUUUAAUAUUGGGACUGGGAUUAUGUUGCCGGUAUGAAUUGUAUGUGUACAGCGAACGAACGUUCUGACUUAAACUUGGCUUAAACUGGCCACACAGUGUCUUAGCCAUGCAUGCAUGUGUGCAGCAUACGUGAAGCUUACUGUAGGAAUCUGGACAACCUAAGCGUGAUAACAACAAACACUGAAGUUGAAUGACAAUCAAUUGAGUUGCAUGCAUAUGUGUCUUAUGCACGGGCGGGAUGGCCAAGCACGGGACUGCAUAUUGCUGAUCGAUCGGAUCACAUCGGAUGUGAUGAUGUGCACGAAUGCAUUGAUGGAUGCAAUCACCUCAUACGUAUUUGGGUAUCGACCAACCAAUACGUAUGGUUGUGUGAAGUAGGGGGGUUUAGCUUCACCCGUGGCCACUAGCUUGGCAGUCCCUGCCUUCCCCCAUGUUUCGGGGCACCCUUAACCUUUCACCCAUGCCGGCUUCUGCGAAGUCUGUGAAUAAUCAACAACAAUGACAAUGACAACCGACUGCCAAAGGGACCAGGCAAGCAUGAUUAGCACCAGAAAAAAAACCUAUGUCCAGAAAGUCAGAAAAAUACCCAGGAUACAACAACUAUUCCCCCCUCCGGAUGCAGCGUCCCCGCUGCAUGGAAAGAGCAGACUUAGCACAGACAGGCACCAGGGAUGCGGGACACAAAGCAAUUACCUGCCCCGCGAGCCUACCUUGGCCUGGGCCUGUUGCUUAGCCUCUUCCAGCAGGGGUUUCAUAUCAGGGGUAAAGUUGUGUAUAGGUUCCCAGGAGUUGUGCUCAGAUGAAUACCCGACCCAUUUGACCAGGUAUUCAUGCACAGUGUGCUUGCGUCGGCCGUUGCCUACCCGGUGUGUGUGUGUGUGUGUGUGUGUGUGUGUGUGACCAGGUAUUCAUGCACAGUGUGCUUGCGUCGGCCGUUGCCUACCCGGCGUGCACGAUAAUCCAGAAUGCGUUCAACAGCAUAAAAAGUCUGCUUGCCAGAUAGCCAAGUGACCGGACCAGGCUCUACAACAGACGGAGUGGUGUCAGGCUCAGAUGUGGCAACAGAAGCAGCUUUGUGGUACGGACGGACCAAGGACACAUGGAACGUGUGAUGGAUGCGCAUGUCUGAAGGCAGUUUCAGCUCUACAGCAGCCGAACCGACCAUGUUUACGACAGAGUACGGACCCACCCAGUGAGGUAGCAUCUUACGUGAACCAUCAGCCAAAGAGCGCAGAUUCUUGGUGCUGAGCAUGACCAACUGCCCUUUGGUGAAGGCGACAUCCCUCCUGGCCUUGUUGUAAUAGUCAGCCGUCCGUUGCUGCGCAGCUUCAAGGCAAGCUUUAGCAUCAGUCGUACAGGAUACAAAUGACUUAACGAACGUCUUCACAGCAGGCACGUUGACGUCCAGUUCCCGCCAGAUCGGUAAAGCAGGGUUAAAGCCAUAGUUAAGGAAAAACGGACUUUUCCCAGUCGAACGGUUGGCAGCAUUGUUGAUUGCAAAUUCCGCAGCCGUCAGAUAGGUAUCCCAAACAGCAGGUGUACGACCGGCAUAAUUAGGCAGCAUGUCAGCCAGGGUACGGUUUGUACGCUCAGUCUGGCCGUCAGUCUGUGCGUGGUAGGCGGUGGACAGAUUAACCCGCAUGCCUACCAACUGGCCCAGGGCGCCCCAAAACGUACGCGCGAACUGUGAACCGCGAUCAGUAAUAACGCUUUUGGGAACGCCAUGCAAACGCACUACGUUAUCGAAAAACAGACGUGCAGUUUGCUCGGCCAUGCAGGAUGACGUGCAAGGUGCCAAGUGUACCAUCUUAGUCAGACGGUUAACCAUGACUAGCACAGCGUCAAAUCCCCCCUCUGUUUUGGGCAGCGCAACUAUGAAAUCCAUGGAAACGCUUUCCCAGGGAGCGUUCGGAACAGGUAAAGGCUGCAGAAGCCCGUGAGGCUUACCAGAUUGAGCCUUGUUGCGCUGGCACAGAUCACAGGACAGAACGUAAUUCUCCGCAUCUUUAGCCAUGCGUGGCCACCAGAACUGCCGACGAAGAAUUUCGACCAGCCGCGUGCAGGCAGGAUGCCCAGCCAAUGGGUCGUCAGGGAAGCGAGACAGAAGCUCACGAUGCAAAGAAUCAUAAUUCGGAAUGACGAUUUGCCUGUAAGACCCCUCAGAACGGAUCCAGAGACGAUGCUGUAAAGACAAAUGGCCGGUAUUGUUAGCAUCAGUAAACCAAGGAUCCGUGGCGUAGGCUUGCUUCAAGCGCUCAGUGAAAACCGAGUGCACAAUCGGCUGUGCAGCUGCGGAUCGGCGUGUAGCAACAUACAGAAUGGCUGCAUGCAGGGAUGGGUGCCGACUGAGUGCAUCAGCGAUGUUAAGGGAACCAGACAGAUAUUCCCACGUGAAAUCGAACCGGGCCAGGAAUUCCAUCCAAUGCGCCUGCCGGUGAUUCAGCGAUGGCACACCUUGCAGAAACGUAAGGGGUUUAUGAUCCGUUUUAAGAGUGAAUGGGCGACCCUCUAGAUAGCACCACCACUCUUUAAGCGCAUGAAGAACAGCUAGCAGUUCCUGUUCCCCAGUUGUGUAGCGAGUCUCAGCCCCGGAAAACUUUUUACUGGUGAAGGCGACUGGCCGCCCCUGCUGCAACAGAACAGCGCCCGUGCCGUGCAAGGAUGCAUCUGUAACAACCUCAACACGAAACGGCUGUGAGUAAUCCGGGAAUCGCAAAAUGAUGUCGUCAGAGACAAUGCACUUCAAAGAAUCAAAAGCCUGCUGGCACUCAGACGUCCAGGCAUCAGUUGAAAAGAAAGCCCCUUUACAUGUCAGAUUAGUCAAGAGGUGCAGCAAUGACAGAAAAAUGCUCAAUGAACUUUCUGAAGUAGUUCACAAGCCCCAGAAACCUACGAAGGUCGUGUAGGUUGGUCGGAGUAGGCCAGUUCCGCACCGCAGCAGUCUUGCGUGGAUCCAUGCGGACGCCAUCCUUGGAAACGAUGUGACCAAGGUAUUCGACCUGAGGCUGUGCCCAGUGGCACUUAGCGUGUUUAGCAAACAGUUGCUCCCGCUGCAGGACCUCUAAGACCAGACGUAAAUGCUCUAAAUGCUCCUCACGCGUUUUGGAAAAGACAAGCAGAUCAUCCAGAUAGCAGACGACAAACUUAUCCAUGUAAUUUCUGAAGAUGCGAUCCAUAACUGCUUGGAAAGUCGCAGGUGCGUUCGUCAGCCCGAAGCUCAGGACAUGUACUCAUAAUGACCGAAAGGGGUACGAAAAGCCGUUUUAGGAAUGUCGGAUUCCGCAAUACGAAUCUGAUUGUACCCUUGCUGUAGAUCAAUCGAGCUAAAGUAACCAGCACCGCGCAGUUUAUCCAGCAGAUCAUCGACACGAGGCAGGGGAUAGCGAUUUUUAACUGUAACCCAGUUCAGACCCCGAUAGUCAAUGCACAUGCGCAAGGUCCCGUCCUUCUUGCUCACAAACAGAAUAUGAGCAGAGUAAGGAGACGUGCUGGGUCGGAUCAUACCUUUGCUGAGAAGAUCAGUCAUCUGACGUUAUACCUCAUCGAGUUCCAAGGGACUCAACGUUACAUGGGCCGAGAAAUCGGUGUAGCACCAGGUGUCAAAGGUAUCGUGUGGUCGACAGGUCGCAUCGGUGGAAGCCCAGGGAUUUUACGGAAUACAUCGGCAUACUCCUCCAACAGGGCUUCAAUUUCUGGGUCUUUGUCAGGGGUUGGGUCAACAGCUGCGUUCAGUUGCAGUUUAGGACGCACUAACAGAGCAUGUGCACCCUUCCGGAGCAUGCGAGCAGCUGCACGUCGCCCAAACUGAACAGGCUCAGUACGAUUGCAGAUAGCUGCAGCAGCAUAAUUCACACAUGGGUCAGCCGGAACCCCCUCUGCGGUAUGUCCUUCUGUGAUGAAAGGCGUCUCAUACGUAUAGGGAUGAUCACGGCGAUGAAUGAGGGAAACCCUGUGUAUGUCUCGAGUUCUAUCUUAUUCUGUUUGUGGAUUUGCCAAACUUAUUUUAUAACGAUUAUUUGAAGUAAGGCUUGCUCAGAUGUAAUCGUGAUGCGAAGAGGUGAUGCGCAUAUGUGACCUCCCUCAUUAUUUGGCAGUAACGAUUAUCCUCCCCUUACCAUUACCUAUAUGCUGCCAGAGACGGAUGAUGCUUACGAGGGCGACCUGCGGCUGGUCGGCAGCAACCAGCCAGGUAGCGGCACACUGCAAAUCUUCCAUGACGGCAAGUGGGGCGUAAUGAACAGCACAUACAUGGACUGGCGCAUCGCUACAGCCGCUUGCCGGCAGCUUGGCUGGACUUGGGGCGAUCUAGUGUCUAAUGCGGGGUCCAUGUACGGCGGAACAUCCAAUAUGGUGCUCUGGAAUGUUCAGUUCGCUUGCCAAUCGCUGAACAGCCGCUUGGUGGACUGCCCUCGAGACCAGGACUUCUACCUUUGGGUAGGGAUAAACGGCGAAUUUCCCGAAAUUGUAAAGGGCUGAAGGGCGUGUGUCGGCUGUCUGGGCUAUGCGCCGAUGGUUGCCUUCAAUGGGAAAAACGUGUUUCAUAAACCCUACCUGACGUGCGUGGCGUGCUCCGUUUCCCAGCGGACGGCUCCCGUCAACCUGGUAAAGUCAGAGGCGAAUCUGCUAAGCGAUCAUGGUCCAGGCAUUUCGUUUUCCCUCCAUUCAGGAAUAUCGCUGCCCUGUCCGAGAUUAAUCUUCAGCAAGAGACUUUUAACCCAAAUAAAAUGCUCGUACAAAAUCGAUGGCUUGCCCACGCAUACAACACUGUGCAUGUAAUGUUUUAUUUCUGGGGGCCUCCCAUAGUAGAGCUAAUUGAUAAGCGAGGAGAACGGCGGGGCUUUGGCAUGCCUGAACACAGAACACCCCCUCUGCAUGCACUGUGCAUGAUUACCUAAGUUGAAGUAAACUAUGAACCUCGCUACACCAUGUCGGUCUGUGUGUGUUGUUGUUGUAGGACUACAACAACGACGGUGGCGCUGUGCCGCGGGGCUAUGACGCUUACAUGGGUGUACAAUGCCACAGUGGUAAGCUUCCUGCUGCGUUGUGCUGCUUUGCUAUAGCAUGUCCGACAUAGCUAUGUCCGAACGCCCCAUUUACUAUGGACGUUCUCAUUUUUUACACAUGCGUCUGGCACCCUUGUACGUACCUUUACUGGCUCCUGGUAUCUGGACAAGCAAAUUUGAUUGCACAUGCAGAUUUGGACUCGGAAGCUCGCCUCGUCGGUGGCAGUGAUGCCAAUGAAGGAAUCGUCCAGGUCCUUUACGGCGGACAAUGGGUCAGCAUCUAUCCCGCUCAUCUGAACUACUACCAGCAGCAGUACGGUUGGAGUUGGUACGAGGCGGGAGUGGUGUGUCGGAUGCUGGGCUGGGACACUGGCGAGGAGCUUAUGGACAUCCCUGGUGGAAUCUUCAAUCGGACGGCAGCUGAAGGCCCCCUGUACACCACAUUUUACAAAUGUAAUGGUUCUGAGAGCCAAUUGAUAGAUUGUGAUCGAGAGUUGCAGACGUAUCAAAUAUUUUCGUGGGACAUCUACUCUUACGGUGUAGCCGCUGUAAGGUGUUGGAAUGGUAAGUACGGGUAUUGUAGCUAUGUGCUAUCUUGCAUAGAUGUAGGUCAGUGUAUGUUACACAGCCGCUUGCAUGAAUAAAGGACAAUCUAACUAUCUGCUAGCUUGAAUGACGUAGAUAAUCACACACGAGAUGAAGAAGAUGAAGCUGAACCCUGAUUUGCCCAAGUUAUGGGGAAGUGCGGUCCCAAUACAUGAAUUCAGCGUGCAAAGGGAUGUGCGUGGCCCCGACAGAUCUGCUAGGAGCACAUCAUGGUGCUGGGUGGAUUCACCCCGUUUGAAGCGGGGGGAGCAGGCCAUGUAUGCCAGUUUUCAACCACUUAAACAAAAACGGCUUCUAACCUACCUAGUACAUCUUCUCGUGCCGGUCUCACUUGUCCAUGUUUAUUCCCUACAGCCGCCUUGCGUGUUUAGUCCGGCUGCUCCAUCCUCAUCGCCUUACCGUACGUGCAUUAAUAGCGCUAGCCCUGCCUUGCAUGCAUCCCUUGCUGCUACCAUCCCAACUCCACCAAGCGAGACUUCCGAGCAACCGACAGACAUGGUGCUGCACAUGCAUGUUGUAAGGACGGUGUGCUUGCUGGCUUUGUGAAUGUACUGCUGACCAUGAGCUUUAGUCCCUGUCAAGUAUGGAGCUCUGCGUCCAGUUGUGUUUAAUAAGUAUAUUCCUUAAGAGAAAUAAAACGGCACUUUCGGCCCUGGUAAAAAGGAAUGGAUUUACGUCCGGCCGCAUACAUUCAUUUCUUGGGCCAGAAAGCAAGUCUCCGUCCUGCCAAAGGUCUGCUCAAACGUCGGGGGAUGGACUAGAAGGGCCUUGAAGACCCCAACCGGUAUUCAACGGAGCGUUACACGCAUAUCUGACUGGAGCGGACGUGGCUACUCCAAAGGUUUGUCAUCUCAAGGAACCACCAAAGGUCCAUGCAUGGACCUUAUGGCCUGGCUUUGCAAGUUACUUUGUAAUUCAUCCGGGGUUCUGGGGGACCGGAUACCCCCAGCGCCUCAUGCUUAAGGAAUAGUUUAUCAGCCUGACUUUGGAUAUCAUGGGUUUGGAAUAAAAUGGGCCCCCUAAAACGAAAACAGAAACGCUAUCUCCGUCCAUCACCGCGACAGCAACUCAUCCCCAUCGCUCAGUGCUUUUUAAUUGCUGACUGGCAGCUGUCGUUCUAUGCUUGGCUUCCCCAAAGGUUUCCAUCCUCGCCAUCCAUACGGCAGCACACACACGCCGGCGGCACUACUACUAAAGUACAGACUAAAGUCUGUAGCUUAGCCUGAGCACCGUCGCUUGCAAGCGGGCGAGGGGGGAAAGGCUAUGGGUUUCCCCUGCCCUUUACAAAUUCACCGUGAGAGGAAAACGUAAUGGGAUGAUCACGGCGAUGAAUGAGGGAAACCCUGUGUAUGUCUCGAGUUCUAUCUUAUUCUGUUUGUGGAUCUGCCAAACUUAUUUUAUAACGAUUAUUUGAAGUAAGGCUUGCUCAGAUGUAAUCGUGAUGCGAAGAGGUGAUGCGCAUAUGUGACCUCCCUCAUUAUUUGGCAGUAACGAUUAUCCUCCCCUUACCAUUACCUACAUGCUGCCAGAGACGGAUGAUGCUUACGAGGGCGACCUGCGGCUGGUCGGCAGCAACCGGCCAGGUAGCGGCACACUGCAAAUCUUCCACGACGGCAAGUGGGGCGUAAUGAACAGCACAUACAUGGACUGGCGCAUCGCUACAGCCGCUUGCCGGCAGCUUGGCUGGACUUGGGGCGAUCUAGUGUCUAAUGCGGGGUCCAUGUAUGGCGGAACAUCCAAUAUGGUGCUCUGGAAUGUUCAGUUCGCUUGCCAAUCGCUGAACAGCCGCUUGGUGGACUGCCCUCGAGACCAGGACUUCUACCUUUGGGUAGGGAUAAACGGCGAAUUUCCCGAAAUUGUAAAGGGCUGAAGGGCGGGGUUAUUCAUGGCGCGUGUCGGCUGUCUGGGCUAUGCGCCGGUGGUUGCCUUCAAUGGGAAAAACGUGUUUCAUAAACCCUACCUGACAUGCGUGGCGUGCUCCGUUUCCCAGCGGACGGCUCCCGUCAACCUGGUAAAGUCAGAGGCGAAUCUGCUAAGUGAUCAUGGUCCAGGCAUUUCGUUUUCCCUCCAUUCAGGAAUAUCGCUGCCCUGUCCGAGAUUAAUCUUCAGCAAGAGACUUUUAACCCAAAUAAAAUGCUCGUACAAAAUCGAUGGCUUGCCCACGCAUACAACACUGUGCAUGUAAUGUUUUAUUUCUGGGGGCCUCCCAUAGUAGAGCUAAUUGAUAAGCGAGGAGAACGGCGGGGCUUUGGCAUGCCUGAACACAGAACACCCCCUCUGCAUGCACUGUGCAUGAUUACCUAAGUUGAAGUAAACUAUGAACCUCGCUACACCAUGUCGGUCUGUGUGUGUUGUUGUUGUAGGACUACAACAACGACGGUGGCGCUGUGCCGCGGGGCUAUGACGCUUACAUGGGUGUACAAUGCCACAGUGGUAAGCUUCCUGCUGCGUUGUGCUGCUUUGCUAUAGCAUGUCCGACAUAGCUAUGUCCGAACGCCCCAUUUACUAUGGAUGUUCUCAUCACGUCAGUGGGGCAACGGUGUUAGGCAUCUCUUUGAACUCAGCAACCGAAGGGCAGACCAAUCAGCCACCAAGACCAGAUGUCCUAUCUGUAAACAGCAUUACAGUUUAGUCAGUUCAGAUACAGAUGUUGGCAGCCCAAUAUUUAGGUUCGUAAUGCAGUUAUGAAACAGCAGUUAUUCGAGGGUUGAGAGACAGAUCCCAAAACCACUCAAACAAUACAGAUCAGUAAGGAAUAGUGUUUAUCAUAUGCACAGAUGCACUAUGAUACAACAACUAUCCCCCCUAAUGUGACAGCAUCCCCUCUGCCCGUUUAGCCUGCAAGCGAACCUCUUCCAGGGCCGGUUUCAGAUCCAGUGUGAAGUUGCGAGCGGGUUCCCAGGAAUUGUGCUCAGAUGAGUAGCCAGUCCAUUUCUCAAGCCACUCAUGCACUAAGCGGAACCGCUUGCCAGAACGAACGCGGCGACAACAGUAGACCAGAACGCGUUCAACCAGGUAAAGAGGUUGCUUAUCAGACAGCCAGGCAACAGGAUCAGGUUCAGUGUCCAUACCAUCCGCAGAAACAGGAUUCCGAGAACGAUAAGGGCGAAUCAGAGACACGUGGAAGGUAGGGUGAAUGCGCUUAUCAGUAGGGAGCCGCAAUUCGACCGCAACAGUACCAACCAUGCAUACGACAGCAUACGGUCCGACCCACCGCGGAAGCAUUUUCCGAGAGCCCUGAGACAGAUUCCGCGGGUUCUUCGUACUCAGCAUCACCAAGUGCCCAGGCGAGAAGGUGACAUGCUUCUUGUCGCGGUUAUAGAAAUCGGCAGCCCGUUGUUGCGCAGCCUCCAGACAGGCUUUUGCAUCAGUCAGCCGGGACUCAAAGCUCUUUGCAAACCGUUUGGCAGCAGGAGCAUUGACAUCCAACUCCCACCAGACAGGGAGUGCAGGGUGGUAGCCAUAGUUCAGCCAGAACGGACUCUUGCCAGUCGAGCGAUUUACUGCAUUAUUCAGUGCGAAUUCAGCAGCAGACAGAUGAGUGUCCCAGGUAUCAGGAUUACAACCCGCAAAGUUGUGUAGCAUGUCGCCCAGAGUGCGGUUCAUGUGUUCAGUUUGGCCAUCAGAUUGGGGAUGAUAUGCCGUGGACAGAUUCACACGCAUAUCCAGAAAAGCCCCAAGCACACCACAGAACUUGCUCGUGAACUUGGAAUCACGGUCAGAUAUUGUGUUCCUAAGAACACAAUGUUCUUAGGAACGCCGUGCAAACGUACCAUGUUAUCCAGAAAUAAGCGUGCAGCUUGCUCAGCAGUACAGGACGUGGUGGUGGGCGCCAGAUGCACCAUCUUCGUCAGGCGAUCAAAACGAAUACUGUGUCGUAUCCCCCCUCAGUUUUGGGGAGUGCGACAACAAAGUCCAUAGAGACGCUAUCCCAGGGGUUGGCCGGUACAGGCAGCGGCUGCAGAAACCCAGGCGUCUUACCGGACAGUGCUUUGUUGCGCUGACAGAGAUCACAGGACUAAACAUAGUCGGCCGCGUUGGCGGCUAGCCUGGGCCACCAGAAGGCGCGGGAGACCAGCUCAAUCAGACGACUACAGCCAGGAUGCCCAGCCAGAGGACCGUCAUGGUACUUUGACAGCAUGCACAGUUCCCGACGGACACAGGCGUCAUUAGGGACCACAAUCUGCUUGCACUCAGGGAGAGGACGGUACCAGAUGCCGUGCUCACAGGUUAGCUUAGCAGUGUUGCGGGGAUCAGAGAAGUACGCAUCAGUACGGUAUCCAGCAUGCAGACGGGCAAACAGGUCCGAGGCAGGCACAUGGGCUUGUGCAGGGACAGCCCAAUGGCAUACUCCAGGCCGGUUCCGGCCCGGUUCCGACCUAACGGGUCCAGUUAACGAGAUGGGUAACCGGUCGGUAGGAUUACCGGGCGAACCGUUAUCCGUUAACCGUCCCCAGUAAUCGGUAACCGAUGUCGGUAACCUGGCAUGAGCAAAAAUGCAUUUCUGAUUGCAACCAGUUUCUUUGUGACAAUGCCCAUUGUCACAAGGUUCAUGCCCACGUGUCACACCCCGACAAGCUUGAGGAGGUUAAGGCAAUGUGAAUGCCGGGUGACAGGGGUGACAGUCUUGUGCAGGCACAUUUGGAGACUAGUUUACACUGAGAUUGGGGUGAUGUUGGAUUAAAAUACUUGCAGUUCAUGAAAUUGAGGAAAUGUGUUGCAAAGGCAUAUCCAAACGUUUCAGAGGGACGUUGUUUCGCCCGUAACAAACUUGUUACGGGCGAAACAAACUGGAUUUCCACAGUCCCACCACUCAAAGAGCUCCCCACACCAUCGCAAAGUCCUUUUUUUAUUACAGACACAUGUAACAAGUUGUCAUAGCUUGAGAUUGUCGAUAUAUGACUGCUGGAUUGUGACGAGGCCAUCUCCUUACAUGUCUUGCUGCACCAGCAUGAGCAGUGAUCCCUUCUGUUCAAAAUUUCAGGCAACAUCGCAAUGAGGCAAAACAUUGUGCCGAAUCUGCCGUACAAAGAGUGUUCAAAGCUUCACGCUACUAACGGACGAAUACAUAAGCAUUCAUUUACCUUAAAAGAAUAAAGGAAUUCUAUAGCUUCAUACANNNNNNNNNNNNNNNNNNNNNNNNNNNNNNNNNNNNNNNNNNNNNNNNNNNNNNNNNNNNNNNNNNNNNNNNNNNNNNNNNNNNNNNNNNNNNNNNNNNNNNNNNNNNNNNNNNNNNNNNNNNNNNNNNNNNNNNNNNNNNNNNNNNNNNNNNNNNNNNNNNNNNNNNNNNNNNNNNNNNNNNNNNNNNNNNNNNNNNNNNNNNNNNNNNNNNNNNNNNNNNNNNNNNNNNNNNNNNNNNNNNNNNNNNNNNNNNNNNNNNNNNNNNNNNNNNNNNNNNNNNNNNNNNNNNNNNNNNNNNNNNNNNNNNNNNNNNNNNNNNNNNNNNNNNNNNNNNNNNNNNNNNNNNNNNNNNNNNNNNNNNNNNNNNNNNNNNNNNNNNNNNNNNNNNNNNNNNNNNNNNNNNNNNNNNNNNNNNNNNNNNNNNNNNNNNNNNNNNNNNNNNNNNNNNNNNNNNNNNNNNNNNNNNNNNNNNNNNNNNNNNNNNNNNNNNNNNNNNNNNNNNNNNNNNNNNNNNNNNNNNNNNNNNNNNNNNNNNNNNNNNNNNNNNNNNNNNNNNNNNNNNNNNNNNNNNNNNNNNNNNNNNNNNNNNNNNNNNNNNNNNNNNNNNNNNNNNNNNNNNNNNNNNNNNNNNNNNNNNNNNNNNNNNNNNNNNNNNNNNNNNNNNNNNNNNNNNNNNNNNNNNNNNNNNNNNNNNNNNNNNNNNNNNNCGGUCGGUAACCGGCAUGUUUAUGCCAUAGGGCAGAGGCAGGUGCAUUAGCAACAGUCUCUUCAAAAGCGGGCACAUUCACGGCGGCUUUACCAGCAGCAGAGCUGUGAGUCGUCACAGACAGAAUAGCAGAAUGCAGGUUCGGGUGCUGACUGAGAGCAUCGGCGAUGUUCAUCGAGCCAGACAGGAACUCCCAGGUAUAAUCAAAGCAUGCCAUGUAUUCAAGCCAAUAGGCCUGGCGGCGAUUCAGGGUCGGCACACCUUGCAGGAAUGUAAGGGGUUUAUGGUCAGUUUUCAGGGUGAAUGGUCUACCUUCAAGGUAGCAGCGCCAUUCUUUCAGAGCGUGGAUGACAGCAAGCAGUUCCUGUUCCCCAGUAGUAUAACGGGUUUCAGCACCCAAAAACUUCUGACUGGUAAACACGACAGGCCGACCCUCUUGCAGCAAUAUAGCCCCAGUGCCGUACAGAGAGGCAUCAAAUAUGACCUCGACACGAAAAGGCAGAGAGAAAUCGGGAAACCGCAGCAUAAUAUCAUCACAGACAGCACGCUUCAGAUCAUCAAACGCCUGUUGGCACUCAGGAGUCCAAGCAGCAGGCGACAGAAACGCACCCUUACGCGUCAGAUUGGUCAGAGGCGCCGCAACAACAGAGUAAUGCGAAAUAAAUUUACGAAAGUUUUUUUAGCGGAUCCAUUCGAAUGCCGUCAGCAGAAACGACAUGCCCCAGAUAUUCGACCUGCGGCUGCACCCAGUGGCACUUGGACCGCUUCGCGUACAGUUGCUCACGCCGCAGCAUCUCGAAGACCUGCCGGAGGUGCUGCAGAUGCUCCUCACGAUUCUUGGAGAAAAUCAAAAUGUCAUCGAGAUAACAGACGACGAACCGGUCCAGGAAAGGCCUGAAGAUACGGUUCAUGACAGCUUGAAAGUUGGCAGGGGCAUUUUCCAAGCCAAACCUCAGAACAGUGUACUCGUAAUGACCAAAGGGUGUGCGGCCCUAUGGCUGGACGUCCUCCCUUUAUGGCCCCCUAGACCCCUUGACCCCCAUGAAGGGGCCAUAAGGGGGCCAUAAGGGGGGGGCCCUUAGCCCCCUUAGCCGGCUUAGUCCCCCAUUAUGGCCCCUUCAUGGGGGUCAAGGGGUCUAGGGGGCCAUAAAGGGGGUCGUCCAGCCAUAGGGCGGCCUGGCGCCUCAGCAGCGGCAGCACGGCGGGCCUCCUCCUCCGUGAUCCAGACAGGACAGUUGUCAAGUCGAUGUUCGCGCGAGCAGCAGCGCAGACACUCCUGGUUGUCCUUACAUCGGAGGUACUCGCCAUACCGGCACACCGAAUAAGUGUGAAAUGGGACACCGCGCUCGUCAGUGACACAAGCCUGCAUGAGUUCUUCAUGAAGACCGGUGUGAAACCAAUACAUGUAUUCCGACUCAGUGCAGUCAGGGAUAGAGGUUAGCAGGGCCUCGAACCGAGUCUCAUAAGCAGCGACUGUCUCCUUAAUAUGCAUGCGGUACUGGCCAGAUGCUAACUUAUUGCAAGCUUCAGUAUCACGUGACUGAAUCUGAGGUGCAAAUCGCUGAAGCAAGGCAGUAAGCAAACCGUCAGAUGUGUAAGACAGGUUGGCCAGCGUCCACUCGUCAUGAAAGGACUUAGCCAGCCCCCCAAGGGCCUGACCCAGGUACAGGCAGCGCAGAGCAUCGUUGUGGCCACCCUUGACAAGCAGGAAAUAAUUCUUGACGUCUCGCACGAAGGCUCGGGUAGCAGCAGCGAUGACGGCGGGCGGUUGUGGACUCUGCUUGGAGUCAGCCUGAAUGAACAGCUUUGGUGGGGGAAUGGACAGCUUAAUUACCUCAGCAGGGUUCGAGGAGCCCUCGCCACCAGCCGCAGCCGGUGUAACAGCAGGGAACCCCGACGGACAAGCACCUGCACGGCCAGAGCCGGCAGCCAUUGCAGCAUGAACAGGAAGGGGUGCAGCAGAGCUGACAAGUAAAGUAAGCAGUAAAACCACGGAGCCCAGGUCGCGGAUUCUCAGAAGCAGCAGCAGCAUCAGGCGCCGGUGGAUGGACAGCAUUGACAGCAGCAGGAGCAUCAGAAGGUUCAGCACCUAACUCAUCAGCAGGAAGGUACUCAGCAGCAGCACCCUCAGCAGGGACAGGGUUGGCAUCGACGGCAACAGCAAGAGAGGCAGGAGCAACAGCAACAGGCGCAGGAACCAGACCAGCCGCGAUAGCCACUGCAGCCUCUAGCAACUCAUUAUUAAACUGAACAGGACCCAGGCCAGCAGCUGGAUCAGCCAUUGUGCCAACUUAGUAGAGACAGCAGUGCAACCCAGCGAAUGUGCACCGAGUUUGACAGCUAAUAGCCGUGCCAAUGUGGCCAGCGAGGCUCGAUUCAGAACCGUUCCUGGAGAGUCUCCAAGGACCAAAAUGCAUAAACGCAGUGGCCUUGGGUCCGAAGACGCUUCUGCAAUCACCACGGAUUCGACCAGGGAUAGACCGACAGCAGACCAAGGCAGCAGGAAGGCAGGUUAAUUCACCAACCUGCACCAGCAGCAGCAGCGACCUCAGCGUUGAUUGAUGGAGAAUAAGAACCAAAACGGAGAGUCGCCAUGGUCAACUUUUGUAGACAGUAUGUAGAUGCAGUAGGCGGAAGCGUAAUACAGGAAAACCGUUUCGAGUCCCUUGUUGUACCACGUAAAUUGUUGUACCACGUAAAUUGGUGGUAGUAAGAACUACCGAUUGAAGAGUUCCAGUGUGGUUAAGAGUACCAGCUCCGCGCUCAGUAGCGUACGGCAGCCGCCAUAGGACGACUGGUCAGUGGGGCAACGGUGUUAGCCGUCUCUUUGAACUCAGCAACCGGAGGGCAGACCAAUCAGCCACCAGGACCAGAUGUCCUAUCUGUAAACAGCAUUACAGUUUAGUCAGUUCAGAUACAGAUAUUGGCAGCCCAAUAUUCAGGUUCGUAAUGCAGUUACGAAACAGCAAUUAUUCGAGGGUUGAGAGACAGAUCCCAAAACCACUCAAACAAUACAGAUCAGUAAGGAAUAUUGUUUAUUAUAUGCACAGAUGCAUGAUGAUACAACAAAUGAAGAUCCCCAACCCUAGCACCGUCUCGCGAAGGAGGGCCCGUGUAACAAAGCUCGGCAGUUGGUGAAGCAGUUACGAAGAGAAUUAUCCAAUGAUAAAAGGUGGUAUUGAAAAGAUUAUGAAUAGUUCUUGAAUGUACCGUUGGUACGAUGACCGUUGGCCCGGUGAGCCGAGGGCCGCCUUAGCGGCGUUACAUUCCCCCCCUCUUGAAUGCGAACCCGUCCUCGGGGCGCCUUGGGUGAGGUGGAUGUUUAGGGUAGAGGUACGCCUUUUGCGUACAGUUUCCCGUGAUAUGCGCGGAUUGCUUCUGGGCAUCCUUGAUUGCAGUCCUUUGCGGACUCCCAGGAGUCGUACUCGGGGCCCAGUUUGUGCCACCUGACGAGGUACUCCGUGGUGAUGCGGCGCCUGCUGCGAGACUGCCGGUGGGCGUGGAUCUCGUCCACAUACCACAACGGUUCGCCCUCAGCUGCGGGAAUCGCAGGUGGGGGUGGCGCGUUGCUGCCAGCCUUGUAGGCUUUUAUUUUAGAGACGUGGAAUACGUCGUGCAUGCGCAAGUGCGCUGGAAGUUGUAGUCGAACCGCGGCUUCGCCACCUUGGCAGUGAUGGGGAAGGGGCCGAUGUAGCGUGGCAUGAACUUGCCAAGGCCUUUCGUGUUGGGUGCCCGGAACGUGAAGUUCUUGGUGCUCAGCAGGACGUGCUGUCCAACCUCAAACUGGGCUUCACGGCGAGCUUUGUCCGCGUAUUUGGCUUGGCGCUGCUUUGCGGCGUCGAGGCACUUCGUGGCCAGUGUAACCCGUUGGGUGAGGCUGUCGGCGAUUUCGUCUGCCGCCGGAUAUUUGGACUGCUGCAGUGGCAAGUCGUGGUCGUGUGGUAGUGACAUGGUGCGUCCGUAGACAGUGUAGAACGGUGUUUGUCCGGUGGACUCGUUCUUGCUGUUGUUGAUGGCGAAUUCUGCCUUUGGCAACCAGUCUUCCCAGUCCGUGAGGUCAGGACCCACGUAGUUACGCAGGACCUCCUGCAGCACGCGGUUCGCGCGCUCGGUUUGACCAUCCGUUUGCGGGUGGAAUGACGAGGACAUGAGCUGUUUUACGCCCAGUUGCCUGGCUGCGUUGCGCAUGGCUUGUGCCGUGAACCGUGGGUCACGAUCCGUGAGGAGCGCGGUGAUUCGACCAUGUUUGCAGAUGAUGUGGUUUACCAGCAUCUUUGCGAAGCCGAUGGUGGUUAGUUGGUCCGUUGUGGGCACCAGCGAGACCAUUUUCGAGAACUUGUCUACGAAAACGCAAAUGGCUGUGUUGCCGGAAGGGGUCUGCGGUAGGCUGGUGAUAAAGUCGCAGGAGACCACCUGCCACGGGCCCAUUGGGGUGGGCAGGGGUUGUAGUUUGCCUGCUGGCUUUUGAUUAUCGGGUUUGUUGCGUUGGCACUGCGGGCAUUCGUGCAUGUAGGGCUCGACAGCACUGUACAUGCCAGGCCACCAGAAGCGUUCAGCAACUGUGUGCAGUGUCUUAGCCACGCCGCAAUGUCCGGCAAGCGGUGCAUCGUGGUAGGCAUGUAAGAUGUCUUUUCGCAGUUGCGGGUCAUUGGGCACGAUAAUUUUGUUGCCUUUGAACCACAUGCCGUCGGUGAACGAGGCGGUGCCCCAGUCGGCAUCCAGUUUGUCCGGCAUUACUGCCUUUAGGCGGUCCGCCAGUGUAGGUUCCGUUGGAGACCCGUCGGUAGGCAUGCCGAUAUACCUCAAGGCUGCGACUGCAGUGGGAGGUGUAUGGAUGCGGGAGAGGGGAUCGGCAACGUUCUUGCGUCCCGGCCGGUACUGCCACGUGUAGUGGAAGCGGCACAGAAACUCUUGCCACCGCGCUUGGCGUCGUGACAGGUCCUUUUUGGUUUCAAACCAAAUGUUUGGAUGGUGGUCGGUGACCAGCGUGAAGGUGUCUUGUGCGGUUUCAAGGUACAGUCGCCACUCUUGUAGGGCAUUAAUCGUACCCAGGAGCUCUUGCUCUGUGGUGGUGUAGUUGAUUUCGGCUGGCGUGAACUUUUUGCUGGUGUAUGCGACGGGGUGUCCGUUCUGCAGCAGCACGCCGCCUGUGCCGUAGAUGCUUGCAUCGGUUACGACUUCGAACUGUUUAGUAAAAUCGGGAAGAUGUAGCACCGGGGCGUUGGCGAGGGCGUUUUUAAUGCCGUCGAAGGCCUGUUGGUGCGUGUCCGUCCAUUCGGUCAGCCUUUUGCUGCCGGUGAGGGCCGUAAGUGGGUUUGCUAGCGAUGAGUACCCCUGGAUGAACUUGCGGAAGUAGUUCGCAAGACCUAGGAAACCGUGCAGCGCCGUCAUGUCUUUUGGGACGGGAUAGUUCUUAACGGCCUCGAUUUUACGGGGAUCCACCUUAAGUCCCUCGUGGCCGACGAUGUGGCCUAAGAAGUUUACUUCGGGCUUGUUCAGCUCGCACUUCUCACGUUUUGCACGGAAACGCGCCCCUUUGAGGGAUUCGAGGACCGUGCGCAUAUGUUCGAGGUGACUUGAUGGAUCUUUGCUGAAGAUGAGGAUAUCGUCCAGGUAAACAACGCAAUAACCCGCGUCGAUAUGUUUUUUAAGCACGGUGUUCAUGACCUUUUGGAAGGUCGCCGGCGCGUUCGUCAACCCGAAGCACAGUACUUUGUACUGGAAUGUCCCGAAGGGUGUUAUGAAGCUGGUUUUGGGGAUGUCCUCCUCCGUGAUGCGGAUUUGAUGAUAGCCGCUUUGUAGGUCGAGGGACGAGAAUAUGCUCGCACCCUGAAGUUUGUUGAGGAGGUCGGUGAUGUUUGGAAGUGGAUACCGGUUUUUUACGGUGAUUUUGUUGAGGGUGCGGAAGUCGAGGCACAUGCGCAGCGAGCCGUCCUUCUUUUGUGCGAAGAGUACGGGCGCGCCGAAUGGUGAUUUUGAUUCCUCGAUGAAGCCUUUGGCCAGUAAGUCUGCGAGCUGCUUUUUCAACUCCGUUUGUUCCAACUGGGAAAGUCAGUACGGUCGGGAGUACGGCGGCUUUUUGCCAGGUUCUAGCUCGAUUGUGUGGCCAGUGCCGAGAUCCGGCCCGAGGCCCGUUAAGGGCUCAAAAACCUCCUUAUAUUCGUCCAGCAGUUCUUCCAGUUUAUCUGGCGACACCAGGGUAGGGUCGGACGGGGUCGCCGUUGUGGCGUCCAUAGCAUUUAGCUGGGCGAUAUCGUCACUGGUUAUGAAGGCAGCGUAACAAGACGCUCCUUGUUUCUGCAGUUUUUUAAUCUGCUUUAGAGACACCAGGUUCGCGCUAGGUGAAGUGGCCGCGUGUAAGACCGCCGUCACGUAAUUCAUGACCGCAACACCCUCGGACUGCGGCCCGUUGAGGCUCUGUAGCCGAUAUGAGCGGCCAUGGCGCGUCACCAUGCAGGUGCCCUGCCCAAAGUCUAUACUAGCUAGUAAUGCACUGUGCUCUCGCAUCCAACGGCUGCCGAGAAUUAGGUCGAUGCCAUCGGCUAGCUUAGGGAUAACUUGCGCUACGAUUUCGCAGCGGAAUCCUUGGAUACGGAGCGACAUAUGCACCCGACCUUGGAGGCGGACGCUAUUUGCGCCGUCGCCUAGCACGCAAGUAGCUACAUGGCUAGUGAGGGGCUGUAAGCCCAGUUUUUGCACAAGUGCGGCAGAUAUGAAAACGUGCGAAGCACCUGAGUCGACUAAGGCGACAGCUUUUGUGCUAGUAACGUUGCACGGUAGUAGCAGCGCGGUGUUUUCAGUCAGAGGUUCUAGUGCAGAACACUUAGACUUUUCCUGGCAGGGGUCGAGCCAUGCUUGAAACUCGCCACUGCAGUUUUGGGACCUGGUGCGACCACCUCCAGGUUUAGGUUCGGAGAAGAUACGGGAGUUACUUGUAAACUCUUUGAGUAAGGUCCAACCGCGUGUCUGAAAUUCCGUUUCUAGGUGGGCGCACUUGGGCACCAACAUAACCGCACUAGUUGUGUCCGGAGCGCGCUGUUUUAAAGUGCUGUAGUUGUUCAGCCAAAGAAUCGCGCAAUCGGCUGGCGUGUUGCACCAGAUAUGCUGUCCACUAGAUUGUGCGAAGUGAACGAGUCGGGACAGGCAAAAUUAGGACAGAGGGAAUUGUCACUUCGUACGUUACAAGAUGCGUCGAUCGCGAACACUCGACCCGAGGCCUUCUGCAGACGCAAAAACACUGAGCGAAGCACACAGUUGCUGCAGUCCACCGUUGGUGGAUUCCGGGUUAGUUCCUCUAUGUCCAUCGGUUCCCCACACGAGCUGCCUGAGGCUACGGCGUGGGCAAUUUCCUAGGCGUCCGCUUUUUUGCGGUCCUCAUUGUAACGCGGCUGUUUGCCGCAGUGGUGGCCCUUGCCAAAGGGCUCUCCACAAUGAUAGCAGAUAUUUUUCUCCUUAGCCAUCUCCUUAACCCACGGCGGCAUUUCCAUGCUGCCGCCUCGGCCACGGCCACCAUAGGCGCCACCGUGACCGCCACCUCGGCCUCCGUAGCAGCCACCACGGUGGUGGUGGUCGGCGCUUCUGCUGGAUCCACCCCGUUGGGUGUGGUUGCCGCGGCCGCCAUUCUGUCGGGGGUGGGUGGGGGCAUCGUUAGUGCCUAAGAAGUUAAGUCGCGCCGUUUGCGCCUUGCCCGCCUCGUGGCGUGUUUGGGCACCUUGGGCAUAGGUAACUAAAGCGUCAAAUGCAAACCAGUUAUUGCCGUUGGCAUCCGUGGCGCAUUCCCGCCGCAGUUGCGGCGGCAUACCGUGAAUAAGCCAAGUGCACAAGUCAAUUUGAGACAUGUUAGGGUCGCCGCGCGUAAUUUCGCGGAAUCGCUGCACGUAAUUUGGGAUGGACUCGCCGGGUUUCAUUGUGUGUGCACCGGCCAGUAGUUGCGUUCGUACAUGGUGAGGGGUGCAACGGUGCACGUCACCGAAAAGCAACACGAAGUCGUCACGCAUGCUCUGAAUAGUGAGCGUGGAGCCUUUGCGUGCAAAUAGGUCGUGGUACCACUCUGCAGCUUUGCCCGUAACGUAAUAACGCAUGCCCAUUAUGGGAUCGCUGCCCGAUUGCGUCAUGUAAUCAACGGUAGUAUCGAACCAGAUUUCAGGUUUGGUUACCGCAGUACUGGGCACUCCCGUGAAGCAAGGAGGCUGCCUAAAGUUCUUAAGACUUUGGUGGUUAGCAUUUUGCUGUUGUGGCUGCUGAUUUAGCGCACUAAUGGAUUGUACAUCCGUGUAACCCACUAUCCCACUUACGUGGCCAGCUUGGGCAGCAGCUGGCUCGCACGCGGCCGGCGGCGCGCAGUUGGCAGCCGGCGCGGCAGGGGCAACGAUCGGCGGUGGUGCUGGUUCGGGCGCCUGGGCAGGUGGGUCGUUGACCUCCGCCGGCCGCACUGGUACAGUGUUUGUCGGCGGUUCUGCAGCCGUUGGCUGCACGUUGAGGCCUUCUGCUGCUGGUAUGAUAGGUUCGGGCGGAUUAGGAGGCGGUGGGGCGGCAGCUUGGGCCUGAAUGUGCGCCUCUAUGCCUUCUAUUCUUUUUGACAUUUGCUCGAGUUUGUCCAGCAGCAGCUUGUUAAAAUCGUCGCGUGGGGCUGCACCUGUUGGGUGUACCGCGUGGUCCAUAGCGUCAGUUCGCGUGAUAAUACAUGCAACAUUUUGUUGCGGGGACCUAAGCACCAAUCUACAUGGUGGCAUUGCGCCAAUUGGGCGGUGUGGGUGGGAAAGUGGUGGCAACCCCCCCUCAGGCGGGGCGAGGUUAGCCACAGUGGUGUUGUUACAUUCACGCUCUUCGUGUAACUCACCCUGUCGUGUGCCGCGUUGCGGCUGGAGCGCGGCGGAGGGUAAAGUCACCCUGGUCGGCUCUGCGGCGGCAGCCGUUGGCUGCGCGGGACGUGGGCGCGAUGGUCCGGGACCUGUUGGGUCUUGCGCUCCGUUUUUGUCGGCGUCAUGCGCCGCAGUGGCUAGUCAUUCCCGCAGUUCGCGGCUCUUCUGCACACAAGAGAGUUCCUCCUUAGCUUCCAUUAGGAAGCCUAGUGCAGAGCGAUAGUCUUGCUCGUCACAAAAUUGUCUGACUUUGUCAAACAUGUGCGACGGCGGUGUGAUGCCCCUACGCUGAGCACAUCUCGCAUACUUCUCAUACAUUUCCUGGACCUUUUGUACCAGUUUCUUGGCCCUAGAGGGGCUCACCUGGCGCAGCUGGUAGCGCUCAUGGUCGGCCUCCGCCGACUGGGCGCGCAGGGGGUUCCUUGCUGGGCUCGUCAUGUGAGUCAGAUAAAAAAUGUUUGUAAAGUUGGAAUGUGCGUGCGGAAGCGGUGGAGUACUCGACUCCGAGGUCCUUUUGACCGGUUGGUCUCGAUACCAAAUUUGUAACAAAGCUCGGCAGUUGGCGAAGCAGUUACGAAGAGAAUUAUCCAAUGAUAAAAGGUGGUAUUGAAAAGAUUAUGAAUAGUUCUUGAAUGUACCGUUGGUACGAUGACUGUUGGCCCGGUGAGCCGAGGGCCACCUUAGCGGCGUUACAGCCCGGGUGCAAGCACAGUUCGUGUGGCGUAAAAAGGAUGACAAAAACCCGAACAAGUGGCAAGUGACCUUGGCGGAUAUGUGGAGGUGGGCCGAGUGCGUGCCUGCUGACACAAGCAAGGUCUAUGAGUACACUGCACGAUAUACUCUGUGUAGAAGGAAAACGACUUCGUCAUAUCCGAUCGGGCCAAAACCCUUGUUAUGUACCACGACACCGUCGGUCUGUGGAGAUGCUACAGCAGCGGCAGGCACAGCUUGCACUUCAGCAGCUAUGGAAGACACGCAUGCUGCCACUCUUCACCCUGGGCAAAUCAGAAGCAGAGAAUAGCAAAUUGCAGCAGCUUCGCCGCCUCUUCUGCCUGCUCGUGUGGGGCCGCCUCAUGUUGGACUUUACGGCCUCAAAAGAGGAGUUCAAGGCGCUGCAUAUUCGCACACCACUGUCACACACUGGAGCCUUUUCUCGGCUUGGGAGCUCGCGGAGGCACUGCUAAUGAACAGGAACUGGUGAGGGGGCACGCUUCAUCUCAAAGACGUGGAUGACUGCAUCGGCAUCUACAAAAAGUCCUGUCUUUCACUGCACCUAUACGUCAUGGACGCUGAGUGGAGCCGGAUGCCGCUUCUUAUUGAUGUAAGUUGUUCGUUGUUGUUCAAAGUUGGUAGAUGGGACGGAACUUUGGAUCUGGAAUCUAUGCUGCUUUAAGGCCCCUUAUUUCAAGUAAACGUUUGCUUUGUUUUGUUGCAAUACUGGACGCCUUUGGGCCCAUCUCUACGUUUUCUUGCCCCUCCCACAGAUGGCGCACCUGUGGGGUGCACAGGAUGCUGAGAGCAUCACACACGUUGAGCGUCGAGGCUGGGCUCGGGGAGGCAACUUGGCCCGCAACUUGGUAGCGAUUAGCACGGACUGAGCUAGUGUUUAGCGUGACUGUUGUGCACAACGGCGUUGUGCACAACGGUUUAGCCUUACCUUUUCAGCAUUCACUGGAUGGGGCACCGUAUUGAUGUCGCGGUUGAUGCGUUUACCGAUUGUAAAAGACAUCAUGGUCACAAUGAUGGAUGUCUUUUCGAACAGUGCUAAGCGCGUGAGCCUCUUUGAGGAUUAUUAUUAUUAUUAUUAUUAUUAUUAUUAUUAUUAUAUUAUUAUUGUUACACCGGUGUCCGCUCAACCUGGCGUGUGUUAAGGGGGGAACGCUCUGAGGUCUGCACCUAGUCAGUCCUAUAUGCUGUAUUCCCACCGCGUCACCUCUACGGGCCCUUUUCCACCCUAGAGUUCCACCUAUCGUUGGUGAGGACGCCACACUUAGGGUUUUGUUAAACUUAGGGCCACACGCCUCUUUGAGGAUGCCGCUCCAGAGGCUGAAACGGUCUGCAACCGGAUGAAGCGAAUUAUGGACACAAGGUGGGUGUGCAUGGUAUAAACAUUAGUGAGAAUAAAUUUAUGCCUGCAUUUCAUAGGAGAUCCUUGCCUCUAGGCCUUGCUAGCUUUCUCCAGAUAGAUCAUUGCUAGGUAAACUGUGACCGGUACCUUAUCAUGAUGCCUUACUGAAAACCUGCUUGCUAUAAUUCUCAUCCAUUCAACCUAAAAUUCCAUUCGUUUUCCCUUUUCCAUGUGCCCGGGAACAUGCACCGGCCAUGCCUGGCAGGGUACAGGCAGGGCCCUGCUGGUGCUCUUCUGCGGGGAGGAAGAGAAAGUUUACAAAUGUGCUGUGGAACGCAUGCCUCUACGUGGCGAUGCACACAAUCAUUACAUCACUUCAAAGCGUCAACACCUUUAUGAAGGUCUGCCAGAUGUGGCCGAGUGCUGUACAUUGGGGAGCACCUGAGAUGUACCUCAUCCCAGCAACCUGCUACACGACUGUGCAGCUCAGCAACGACAUGGAGCUGUUGCCCCUUGUUGUAGAGUUCAGACGACACAACACAUAAUGGGGGCAUCGAAAGAUACCGAUUGAGACAAGUGUCUUGAAUAAAUAGUCAUCAGUGACUCCACUUGGGCCUCGUGCCGACAGGAGCCCCCAGUACGACUGGGCGGCGCCGUAUCCAGAAGCCAUAGUUCGCCGGAACUACUCUCGCUCGGUCAGACGAAACUGGGAUGCAGGUCCCAGCUUUACGUAAGUAAACCCCCCCCCCCAUACACAGGUAUGGACUUCUGCAGCGGUGCGGCAUUAAGGUGGCGGACGACUAACAGUAGUCGCUUUAGCCGCCUGCAGCUAACAGUAGCAGCAACGCGCCCAUAUGCAGAUAUGGACUUCCGCAGUAGUGCGGCACUCGAAUGGUGGACGACUAACAGUAGUCGCUCUAGCCGCCUGCACCCAUAGACUUCUGCAGCAGUGCGGCACUUGAAUGGCGGACGACUAACAGUAGUCACUUUAGCCGCCUGCGCCUAUGGACUUCCGCAACGGUGCAGCAUUUGAGUGGUGGACGACUAACAGUAGUCGCUUUAGCCGCCGAUGCCCAUGGACUUCCACAACAGUGCGGCAUUAAGGUGGCGGACGACUAACAGUAGUCGCUUUAGCCGCCGCAGCUAACAGUAGCCGCAAUUAAACUAAUAGCAGUAUUAGUUAUAACCUGUAAUCACCGCCAACGGAAUUGAUGGGUGUUAGUUAGUAAUAGUGAAGUUCGGUGGACGAGAUAACCACCGACAGUUAGGAUUCGGAGCCCAAACCGUUGCAGAAAACCUUUACAGGAUACAACACCCCUCAACGGGGAUAUCACAAACACCAUCUUGGGGUACGACCCCGAUGCCAGCACCGAGGAGAGAAUUGGCCUGAUGUGCACCGGCGAGUUUUACCCCUUCACGGCCGACCUCCUACACACAGGGCGUGAUUGUCUGUCCAACAUCAUUACAUCUGUGCAUUUUGGACUGUGUCUGCUAUUUCCUGCGUUAACAGUAAAGGACUGUAAGCUUGCGACACAGGUCAGCAUCAGCCAGGAUAUAGCCCAGAACACUAUAAUUAUCCCUCCUCCAGGUUAGGCAUCCUCGACAAGAUCCGAACCAGGGCUAGAUGGAGCCCGCCAUCUCGCAACUCAGUGUCCCGCAUGCACUGAGACUUCAUGCGCACUAAAUGCAAUAUAAUCAUAUUUUACAUAUUUCUAGAUAUUAAAGGAUUCUAACUUGGCUGAGGGACCGAUCCAUACGACCUGACAAAGCUUUGUGUACGGCAGAGGUCGGUCGUCCAGGGCAGGUACUAAAACGGUUUCGGAGGACAUAUGAAAUGAAUCCUCUUGAAGAAUUCAAUUAAUUGACACUAAUUUUAGAAAGAACUAGUGUUCGGCUCGCUGCUUUUGGCUGCGCAGCCCAUGUAGAACAGCCCUUGAAGAAGGAAAUGGGCGCAGACGGUCCUAACACUCGACAAGGAAGCCACGUAUAUUUAGAAGAUGCUGAUGUUGGCGUUUCGGCUGCUGCAACGAAAGAGGUUGUCCUGAUUGAAUGCUGUGCGGGCUCUGGAACGUGCUUUCCAGCAGGCUUUUCGGAGCAUAAAUGGCAGAAGUACACAGUAGUCAUGAGUGCAAAUCAAAGCGGUGCAUAGCAAAGCAUCGCGCUUUGGCUCGCCGCUGGCAUGAUGGCUAAAAGUCAGAGACUUAAUGUGGAGACAAUACGCCAAAGUGUGUAUGGACGUAAACAUGACACUGUGAUGGCUGCAGCCAGCUGGCACAGAUAGUUUCACGUUUCCUUUGACAUGUGAAAAAUUUAAAUAAUGUUACUGUAUAGAGAAUAACUUUGAGAAGCAAGAGUUUAUUAAUUUUUGGCGGAGUUUUAAGCUUAUACUGCAUAUUUGAGCUCCAAAGCCGUAUGGCACUCGGUCGGUCAGCCCAGGGAGCCCCAAAAAAAUCUUCAAAGGUUAUGUUCAGAGAAUAAAUCCCCUACCAGAUAACCCUCCUUCGCCUCGCCCCUUAGAUAUCAGAAUACCGAUCUGAAUGAUCGGGCACGAUUUCGAUAUGGAGACUCUUUUGCACUUGUUAGUUGGAGGACUGGCUCGACUGGCUAAGUAACCAAGGACUUUACGCGGAGUAACCUAGGAAUUUAUUAAAGAGGAAAAGCGCCCGGCCACCCACGGGCCUUAUUGACUCCUAAAACGUUCUAGCGGUAUAAGAUUGUUGAUCACUCUCCAAGAUUGAGCAUUGGGGAAGUACGAUCCUGUCAGCGAGCCUAUGGGGUACAAGAGACUCCCAUAAGCUUGCGCCUAGGACUACGUGCUUUUUCAUUUAAGAUGAAUGCUUGUACUAGUCUUUGCUUAGGAGAAAUCUACGUAUGUCUACUGCUGGCUUUUAUCGCCGGAAGGGCCAUUACCAAGGAACCGGAAUUGCUUCCACAUAGUUAGAGAUCCGAAUCUGAAUCGAGCAAGAAUGUCCUGGCAGCAUACAUCUUGAUACACAGUAGUCAGACACAGCACUUUGCUAAGCCGUGGCAUAUGUGUCCCUGGGAGUUCCAGACUCGAUUCCGACUCAGAGUGGCAUUAAGAUCUUUCGACCGUAAGAAGAUGUCGAUGGACGGUGAUGCACACGGUUGAGGUGAUCGAUCCGCGAAUUGACCAGGAAUGGAGUUGACACCGCCGUUGAUCCGGUAGAUUUAAUUGGAUGCUGGUGGUGGGUGCCGAACCCGGAUAAGACACUGAGUUCGCAGAAGUCGGCAUGGGUGAGAAGGAUGAGGGUUCUCCAAAACAUCGGGAAAGGUAGGGACUGCCAGGCCACGGGUGAAGCUAAACCUCCCUACUUCACACAGUCAUGUAUGUGUGUGUUAAGGGGGCUGGCAAGCUAGGGUUGGGAGGUGCCUUUUAUCCAUCAAUGUAUUUUUUUGCAAGUAUUUACCUGCGGCCCCUAUCCUUGUGUGCGCGUCAGUUUCCCCAGACCGCCACCUGGCAUGUGGCCGAACCAAUGGUCUGACCCGCCCGAAAGCGCACAUAUGUAGCGGGCCGCCGUGCAUUGAACAGUACGUGGCAUGGCCACUAAGCCAGGGUCGGACUCGGACCCGACUGAAGAGACGGCGGGCUGUCCAAGAUUGUGUGAAGUAGGGGGGUUUAGCUUCACCCGUGGCCACUCGCCUGGCAGUCCCUACCUUCCCCAAUGUUUUGGAGAACCCUCAUCCUUCUCACCCAUGCCGACUAAUGCAAACUCAGUGUCUUAUCCGGGUUCGGCACCCACCACCAGCAUCCAAGUAAAUCUACCGGAUCAACGGCGGUGUCAACUCCAUUCCUGGUCAGCUCGCGGGUCACUUUAAGCGUAUCCAUUAUCGUCCAGCGACACAGGACAUUUCCAUCUUCUUAAGUAAGAAGGAUUUUUAUUCCGACCUGAGUCGGAAUUGAUCCUAGAACUUCGAUGUAUGUAUGUGUGUAUGUAUACAAAUAAAUACAUCAUAUAAUACAACACAUAUGUGACCUCAUAUACAUGUAUGUAAAACCCUAUAUAUUUCCUUUUCAGUUUCCUUUUACAGCCUAGGAAAGGAAAAUGAAAAGAUUUCUCCAGGACCCUGAACCCUCGUGUGCGCGCGCGCGCGUGUGUGUGUGUGUGUGUGUGUGUGUGUGUGUGUGUGUGUAUGCAUUACAUAUCGAUCCGGGCCUGAUGCUGGCCAGGGGCACCUAACUGUACCCCAACGGGAACGACCGCCAAAGCACUCCUCAGCUGAGGAGGGGCAUACCACCUUGUCCGCACGUGUGCACACUGCAACCCCCCAUAUUGGGGAGGUGCUUACCGCCUACUGUAAUCAUCACAGGACUGCGUCCACCUGAUUGCCCAUUUGCCAGCUCAGCUAGCCCAGGCGCCUACAGCCCCCUUGCCACCAGACGCAUGCUCUACAGCUGUGUAGAAUGUCUACCACAAGGCGCACACACCGGCAGCCGUAUACCCUAAUCAUCACAGGAGCACUGCGAUCCUGUAGUUCUUCAACCAACUGUCUAUGCAGUGGCCCAGGAGCCAGGGACUCCCCAUGCCGCCAUAUGAACGCUCUCUAUAGCACUGUUUGUUUCCGCCAAGGCAUAUCCGCCUCUCACUUGAAGCCAUGUCUUGGCACCAGAGCAGUUCCUCCUAGGCCGCUGCUUGACCACUUGAUCAGGCCCUCUUCACCCUGACCUAUUACAUCUGGGGGACCGUCGGCGGGGUUCAAUCCCACAUCUACCACUUGAGUGCUGCCACCUGGUAUCAAACCUAGGACCUCGCAACCUCUAAGCCGGUGUGUAUUGGUUACAUAUCGAUCCGGGCCUGACGCUGGCCAGAGGCACCUAACCGUACCCCAACAGGAAUGACCGCCGAAGCACUCAGGACCACUGGGGGGCCAUGCACCCAGAGCUGGAACCCCGUCAGCUAAACAACACAAGGCAGGACUCCAAGAAAGAACACUGCCUGGCCCAAAGAAAGUUCUGCAGGGGGACUAUUCCAGGUGGAAAGACUUCCACCAGUCCCACACGAAACACUGCAGCCAGCAGGAAGGCGAGGACACUGGGCAAUCAAGGGGGAAACACACACAAGAGGGAGCGCUGUGAAGCACCCACCCCCGCGUCAGCACGUCUCAGGCAAACAGUCAACUCAGGGUGAAUCACUCACUGAUCAGGCCUGAGCAACCUAGCAGGGAUAGUACGCCAGUACACUCCACAUACCACACGACCAAGGCCUUCACCAGUGAGAGGCCUCCAGAGCUAGUUACCUGCCAGAGACUGCUCUGCACCCCCUACACCCCUGCCUGCAGCCACCUAAAACGACCUCUUUCACCUGCCGCAAGCCCAAAGUACCUGGGCCUUGCUCCUUCCAACCCUUCCCCUCGGGCCCCCCCACCCUUGCUCUUCCGGGAAGUGGUUGAGCUCACACGCAUAGGCAAUGUGCUAAGCCACUUUGCCAGCCCCUCCGCAUCCUUCUCCUCAAUCUCCCUCAAAUCGCAGCUCUCAAGGUACUGCCAGGUGCGUAGUGAGGAUUCCCGAACCAGCGUGGCCCCGUGUUGGGCAGGGGAUGCGGCAAGAAGCUUCACUAUGAGCACUGCUGUCUUGGCCCCCUUGGCCCCUCGGGGCUGUCGCUGGCUUGCAGAUGGACCUGCCCCUCCCGAUCCCAUUCCCCCUAGCUGCAUUGGCUGUUGCUGCUGCUGCUUCGGCUGCUGCUGCUUUGGCUGCCGCUUUGGCUGCUGUUGCUGUGGCUGCUGCUGCUGUGGCUGCUGCUGCUGUGGCUGCUGCUGCUGUGGCUGCUGCUGCUGAGGCUGCUGCUGCUGAGGCUGCUGCUGCUGCUGAGGCUGCUGCUGCUGUGGCUGCUGCUGCUGCUGUGGCUGCUGCUGCUGCUGUGGCUGCUGCUGCUGCUGUGGCUGCUGCUGCUGCUGCGGCAGCAGUGGUGGUGGCAUGUCCGGUGAAAAUGGUAAUUCUGGCAAGGGUGGGAGGUUCCGCAUCACCUCCCGUUGUUGCCGCAUCACCUCCUGCUUCUGAAAGCUCAUCCACCAUUCGAAGAAAUGCAGGUCCUUAAGGUCUCUGACUUCUCACCCUCCUUGAGCUGCCCCUGGUAGUAGUUUUCCUGCUCAGCCCGGAUCUGCUCCAGGGAGCUGGUUUCACUGUCCACACGGUGUGCAGGCAAGCACCAUGCAGCAACUGGGCCUGAUGGCUUCUCAUCCGCAGGCCUGCCUGCAGGUGCAUGUUAUAUCAUAGAACACACCCGGGUGGUGGCGUCGGAAGACACCGAUUGAAAGAACGUCUUCCGCUUAAAUAGCGAAGAUGCAGCCAUCGCAUGAGUCGUACAGCCAGUCCCGGAAUGGUGCUGCCAAUCCCGGAAUGGUGAACUGUUGACCCAUGCUUCCAAUCGAUGACAGGGCUCCACGAGCCAGGGACCGGUGUCCCAGUCAUAACCUGUGCUACGACCCCGCCCAUACUUCCGCCUGAGGCGACGUUUACUUGUAGGCAUCCAUGACAGCGUCCCCCUCACCAUCGGACCCAGAGGUCGGAGCCAUAAAUCUGAGGAAUGGCGGCAAAGUAGGCAGUGGAAAUCGGUUAGUUCCAGUGAACUUAUUCAUCAACCGCGCCAAGCGGGAACAACAGAAAAAAGACAGCAAAUGUAUCAGUUUGGGACCAGAUGUAAGGAAAGGUAUACAACAGUGCAGGUACUGAUGAUGGUGCGGCUGCCACGGCUGCAGGUCCUGCUUGGUGCAUGCAGUUUGCAGUGGUCACAUGGGCGACUGCUGCAUCCCACUCCCGCUGGGCUUCUGCUUGCCGUGCUGCUGCUCAUCCUCCUUGGUUCCGGGCUGGUGCUGCAGGAGCACCACUAAGACUGUGAGUCCCAGGUAGGGGGCUGCAUGGCAGCCAUGUGAAGUGUGUCCCGCCGCAGCCCCUGCUGUGUCAGCCAGCGCCAUGAUUGAAACUCAGGCAAGGGCUUGGUGCCCUCAGUGAGAGUGACCACAACACCAGCAGCGUGUCCAGUAUGCUGGGCAGGACUGAAGUGCUCCGCUGGAUGCCUGUACACAUCAGCCAGCCAGUGUGACACAGCUCUGGACUGGACCUGUGGCAGUACCCCACUAAUGGUGUACACAGUCGGCAGAACCCUGUGGAUGUCCACAAUGCGCGCCCCCACGUUCACCGGACUGCUGAUGGGGCCCAGGGCAACAGGCCCCAGGUGUAGUAUUAUGUGUGAAAAUCCACCAUUCAGUGGGGGUGAUAAGAAUCACCAGUUGAGUGUGCAGCACGUUGCUUAUCCAAAUCCAUGUAUGACAUGGAGCAUUCAUACAAUUAUAUCUUAUUAUAACGCUUGGAUACCCCUUUGACCAUUGGGGUAGAUAGCCAGGAGACAGUGGCUAUCAUAACGACACAGGCUUCUUCAACAGACAGGGAUCGAACAACUUCCGAUCAGACCCAUCCCCCGUGGUUAGCCAGCACUACAGAAUUACCACGUUAAAGCUCAGAUGACUUUGGACAAUCUCUCUGGGACAUCAGUUCGUAGGCCAGUUGCCUGUAUAGGACAGUUAGCAGUUGCUAGGUCAGACACAGCUCUGUUACGCGCCAGGUAGAAUUGCGCUAAGUCCACAGCGUGAUACUACUAUCCCCCCUCCAGAUGGCGCUUCCCCGCGGCGUCCCGAGCAGCAGAUAGAACAUUAGCGAGGUCCGGUGUGAAGUUCUUCUCCGGCUCCCAGCUGUUGUGCUCUGAUGAGUAGCCAGCCCACUUGCCCAGGUACUCACAGACAUUCCGGAACUUGCAAUCAGCAUGUACGUGACGUACUUGGAAGUCCAGAAUACGCUCCACAUGGUACAAGGGGUGUUAUCGUCCCAAGCGACAGGCCCAGGGUCUGCCACAGUCUCCAGAGCAUCUCCACGGAACGGACGCACCAGCGAGACAUGGAAUGUGCAGUGGAUCUGGAACUUGGGCAGCAGGUCCAGCUCGACAGCAACUUUACCUUCCAUUCGUACCACAGGAUACGGUCCAGCCCAGCGAGGCAGCAGCUUGCGGGAGCCCUGAACUUGUCCAUGAAGGUUCUUCGUACUCAACAUGACAAGUUGACCAGGUGUCGGCACCAGAUCCUUCUUGUUACGGUUGUAGUAACGUGUAGUCCGUUGUUGGGCAGCAUCCAGACAGGUCUUCGCAUCACUGAUGCGCAUGACAAAGGACUUGACAAAGACCUUGGCAGCAGGUACCGGCAGGUCCAGCUCUCGCCAGACCGGUAGAGCAGGAUUGAAGUCAUAGUUCAGGAAGAAUGGACUCUUACCAGUCGAAUGAUUUACAGCGUUGUUCAUAGCGAACUCCGCAGCAAACAGAUACACAUCGGCAGGCGGCUGGCAGAAGUUAAGGCCUGGCUUCUGCUCCCGUCGCGUCCCGGCGCGUCCGGGUUCAAAUCCGCCUGCCGAUCUCUCGGUGUGUUUGAGAGGUGAUGAAAUGGGAGGUGGCCCCCCAUCUUGUGGACGGUGUAGGACGUGAUAAAAUCAACUCGCGAGCUGACCAGGAACUAAGUUGAUGCGCCGUUGAUCCGCUAGAUUUGGUUGGAUGCUGGUGGUGAGUUGCCAAACUCAAAGAGUACACUCUGAAGUCGGAUGGGGUGAAUGGCUUAGGGUGCCCCUAUAGCAGGGGAGAGCAGGGAACUGCCUCGGGAAGGAGGCCACUGGUGAAGCUUAACCACCCUGUAAAAGAGAAAAAGAUACACAUCCCAGGUCAUAGGAUUACGGCUCACAAAAUUGCGCAACAUAUCACCCAGAGUGCGAUUUACGCAUUCAGUCUGACCAUCAGUUUUAGGAUGGUACACCGUGGACAGAUUGAUCCUCAUAUUCAACAGAGUUCCAAGCAUGCCCCAAAACUUACUCGCAAACUGCGGGCCAAGGUCAGAUACCACGUUUUUGGGGGUGUCAUGCAAAUGGACAAAAUUGUUCAAAAACAGGCCUGUAGUAUGCUCAGCUGUACAGGUCGUAGUAGUGGGCGCCAGGUGCACCAUCGUAGUCAGGUGACCCAUGAAGACUAAGACCGCAUCAUAUCCCCCCUGAGUUUUGGGAAGCACGACCACAAAGUCCAGUGACACACUGUCCCAAGGCGCAUCCGGGACAGGCAGGGGUUGCAGAUGCCCUGGCGUCUCACCGGACUGCGGCUUGUUGUGUUGGCAAUCAGGACAGUGCUGAACAUCCUCCUCGGUACCACGAGCAAGGCGGGGCCACCAGAAACGACGGCGCAGUUGCUCAAGCAUACGGGUGGACCCAGGGUGACCAGCAAGAGAACCUUCGUGAUAGCGAGAGAGGAGAUCUCGAUGAAGGAUGGUGUCAGCAGGUACCACUAUCUGCUGGUGAUCACCAUCUGUACCGAACCAGAGACCGUUCUUACGAUGCAACGGGUCAGUGUUAUGCCGGUUCGAACACCAUUGGUCAGAAGUGUAAGUACGAUGCAAGCGAUCCAUAAGUGUGGGUUCUGUAUGCAUAGAGGAGGGACUCGCGACUAGCAGGAUAGCAGCAGAGCGAUGAGUCGUCACAGCAGCGACAGGAUCAGAGACAGCAGACAGAAUGGUGGCAUGCAGCGAUGGGUGACGACUAAGAGCGUCAGCCACAUUAAGUGUCCCCUUGCAGUGUUCCCAUGCAAAGUUGAAGCAUGACAUGUAGCCAACAAGUCUGUCGACAGUGCAGUGCAGGCCCUAUGGCUGGAUGUCCCCCCUUUAUGGCCCCCUAGACCCCUUGACCCUCAUGAAGGGGGGCCCUUAGCCCCCUUAGCCCUAAGGCAAGGGGUCUAGGGGGCCAUAAAGGGGGGACGUCCAGCCAUAGGGCUAUGCGAUGCGAACUGAAAGUCCAAGGCGGUUGACCCUGCCAUCUAGGGUCCCACAUCAUCCAUUCACCCGAAAGUCCGUACAGACAGAGGAUUCAACAAUCACCAUCAAUCAAGCGUGGGAAUCUUGGUCAAGUGAGACCGCAACUGCACAUUUGGACAGGUAUUUAAAAUCUGAUGCUCCUGACAACGUCGGGGAGCUACCCAGAAAUCAUACCCAGGACUUAAGACUGCCUCACAAGAGCGCAGUAGUGCCUGCAGACCAGACCACACCAAACAAUAUAAUAAUGUAAAUCAGGUCAUCCUAAUGCAAAACACUCCCCGCUGUUGUAUUACCUAAUGCCUAAUGCCUGAUCGCAUUCUAAAGAUAUACUGUACACAGCUGCCUACAUUUGCCAUUUCACGGGACUCAGAGAAUACCGUUGUCCCGCCCUACAGAUAUCCCGGAUUAUAUGCCACCGUCACCACCGCCACCACCACCAACACCACCGCCUCCACCGGUGGAACCACCACCACCACCGGUGCCACCAUCUCCCCGUCGUAAACCUCCUCCCUCUCCCCCUCCCCCUCGGCAUCCGCCUCCCAGCCCUCCGCCCCCUAACCCUCCGCCUCCCAGCCCUCCGCCCCCUAACCCUCCGCCUCCCAGGCCUCCGCCCCCUAAUCCCCCUCCNNNNNNNNNNNNNNNNNNNNNNNNNNNNNNNNNNNNNNNNNNNNNNNNNNNNNNNNNNNNNNNNNNNNNNNNNNNNNNNNNNNNNNNNNNNNNNNNNNNNNNNNNNNNNNNNNNNNNNNNNNNNNNNNNNNNNNNNNNNNNNNNNNNNNNNNNNNNNNNNNNNNNNNNNNNNNNNNNNNNNNNNNNNNNNNNNNNNNNNNNNNNNNNNNNNNNNNNNNNNNNNNNNNNNNNNNNNNNNNNNNNNNNNNNNNNNNNNNNNNNNNNNNNNNNNNNNNNNNNNNNNNNNNNNNNNNNNNNNNNNNNNNNNNNNNNNNNNNNNNNNNNNNNNNNNNNNNNNNNNNNNNNNNNNNNNNNNNNNNNNNNNNNNNNNNNNNNNNNNNNNNNNNNNNNNNNNNNNNNNNNNNNNNNNNNNNNNNNNNNNNNNNNNNNNNNNNNNNNNNNNNNNNNNNNNNNNNNNNNNNNNNNNNNNNNNNNNNNNNNNNNNNNNNNNNNNNNNNNNNNNNNNNNNNNNNNNNNNNNNNNNNNNNNNNNNNNNNNNNNNNNNNNNNNNNNNNNNNNNNNNNNNNNNNNNNNNNNNNNNNNNNNNNNNNNNNNNNNNNNNNNNNNNNNNNNNNNNNNNNNNNNNNNNNNNNNNNNNNNNNNNNNNNNNNNNNNNNNNNNNNNNNNNNNNNNNNNNNNNNNNNNNNNNNNNNNNNNNNNNNNNNNNNNNNNNNNNNNNNNNNNNNNNNNNNNNNNNNNNNNNNNNNNNNNNNNNNNNNNNNNNNNNNNNNNNNNNNNNNNNNNNNNNNNNNNNNNNNNNNNNNNNNNNNNNNNNNNNNNNNNNNNNNNNNNNNNNNNNNNNNNNNNNNNNNNNNNNNNNNNNNNNNCACAGCCCUCCCCCCCUUAACCCUCCACCUCCCAGCCCCCCAUCCCCUCGCUAUCCUACACCUCUCCCUCCUUCCCCUUAUACAUCACAAUUAAUAAGUCCUCCGGGGCCUCCACCAAGUCCAACGGCGCCCCAGGCUGCUGCAUUUGUUCAAUCAGAGAGGGCAAGUACCAGUCGCAGCGGCGGUUCAGGAGGUGAAGCAAAUGAAGGCAGCGGAUUCAGUCCAACAGCUGCUCCACUGAUGGCGGGAGCGGCCACAGCAGGGCUGCCGUUGCCCCCAUCCGCUGUUGGAGGUGUGGAUGGAGCAUCCCACGAGUCAUCUGCUGGAUCAGCUGCUGAUACUACAGCUUCUUCUGUUGCAACACCUGGGGCUGCCACUGGUGGCUUAUCGGUGGUGCUGAUAGUCGUUUGUACCAUUGUGGGUGCGGCUAUGGUGGCCGUGGUGGUCGGUGUGGUGGGCUUGAAGCGGGCCCGGGCUCGGGGUAACCGUGUUGUACCCCUGUAGACCUUCCAUACCUUUUAAACAACCGCAAAAAGUUCAUGCAUUGGUACUGGGUGGUCCUUGUGCGUCUGUGAAAUGUUUAUCGCCAAUAGAUGGUGCCCUUGUAUGCAUAUGAUAUAUUGGGGCCGCUUUACUAUUCAUCCGUUGCGUUUUGUCCGUUGCACCUUGCUGCGUUGUUGUGGGCAACGAAUAUGGAUAGACGGUUGCAUGAAUGUGAUUUGUAUAGUACGUAGUAGGAGAAGGUGGAUUGGGACAAUGCUAUGGCGCCUCCGUCAUCUCAGCCCACUUUCCGUCGCUCCUUAAAGCCAUCCAGGCUCACACAAUCAGACGCAAGUCCGCACAAUUCAUGAAUGCCAGUCAUUUGGGCCAUCAUUUUCUUGCUUGAGAUGCGACGGAACGAAUAGAUAAAUCGAAUAGAUAAAGAGAACGGUUAUUACAUGGUUACUGGAGGAUAGGUGACUAUCGGAGCCCGCCCCCAUCAGUGUUAUCAUAAUCGUCACUGUUUCAGGUAUCUUAUUUGACGUCCAUCAAUGCAAUUGCUUGCAAGCCACAACCACCGCUGCAUUAGCCUGCAAGUCCGGUACUUACCGACUACCUGCGGUAUUGUAGUGUGCACUAGACCAUCCUCCAUAUUUUGGUUGCAUCCAUAAAGUCCAUAUGGAGUUCCAUAAAACCCCCGUCCACCGACUUAUGGAAGGCCAGAACACGCACAUGUAGCCAUGUAAAUAUGUACAAGUAGACUUGUCCUGUCAAGACUGGCAUAUGCAUGCUUAGCACCUGCAUGUUGCUUGCUCAAUUGUGUGUGUGAGUGUGUAUGUGGCCGGCAGACACUGCUAGACAUUAUUAUAUUAGAUUACACGGGAUGUAAGCCUGUCGUGUGUUAAGGGGAAUGCGGAACUGAGGGGGUUAUUCCCCAUACUCCGGUGUCCGCCGAGCACAUACACAUGCAGGUAUGCCUAUGAGAUUAAUGUCUCCAGGAAAUAUCACUCAAGGGGACUAAUACACAACCUGGAUGAGUCCGCCAGCCAUCACUGCCCUGACCAUAUGUGUACGGUAACCUACCACCAGCCAAGCCAGGAACUAUGCCUGCCUUCUUCACCUACCAUGCUUGAACAGGAGGACCUAGUCCUAUGCUAGAUUAAUUCAGGGUGCUAGAACCUCAAUCCACCCCUCCCACUAUCGUAGCAGGAACACUACAAUAUCGCUAUGGCUCGUUAUGUUUCUUAUGUACAUUUCUUGGUUCUGCUUUCAAGCUUGAAAGCAGUUAACUGAGACAAUGUUGUCACUUGUGGGCAGGCGGGAUUCUUACUACUGUUGACGGGGUGUUACACUGUGGGCAACUCGCCCUGGGAACAGACGAGCACCGAGGACCCUGACUGGGCCGAAACACAGUGCAAGGGUGGGCGCACGGUUAUGUCCAUCUGUCCCGCCGUGCACGCCUCACUCCCUCACUUACACAAGCCGGGGGUCCCUCUCGGCCCCCGGCUAAGCAACUCAACGGUGCAGAAGGCUGCAAGCCGUGCUAAGCGAGAAGCUAACCACACGAGAGGUGCCACAAGCCUCAGUCCCUAAACCACCGCCUCGGCCUCAAUAAACAAGCCUCAAUAAACAAGCCGCCACCCCCUGGCCAGCUUACUCACAUGCUCUCGCUGUUCUAACAAACAGAGAACCAAGCCGCUUCCACCGGCACUCUCCCCUGGGGCAGGGGCUUAAAAAGGGGCUCCACCACACCCCCUCCUCUGAACGUUCGCCAACUUUUGGCGGCACUGGACAGAGUGCGUCACGGGUCGCCUGCCAGCAGCCUCCGCCAGGCGUGCUCUCCUCCUCUGAAAGUUCGCCAACUUGUGGCGGCGCCAAACAGAGUGUGUCACAGGUCGCCUGCCGGCAGCCUCCACCGGGCGUGCUCUCCUCCUCUGAAUGUUCGCCAACUUUUGGUGGCGCCAGACAGAGUGCAUCACGUUUCACCUGCCGGCAUCCUCCACCGGGCGUGCUCUCCUCCUCUGAAAGUUCGCCAAUUUUUGGCGGCACCGGACAGAGUGCAUCACGGGUCGCCUGCCAGCAGCCUCCACCAGGCGUGCUCUCCUCCUCUGAAAGUUCGCCAACUUGUGGCGGCGCCAAACAGAGUGUGUCACAGGUCGCCUGCCGGCAGCCUCCACUGGGCGUGCUCUCCUCCUCUGAAUGUUCACCAACUUUUGGCGGCACCGGACAGAGUGCAUCACGGGUCGCCUGCCGGCAGCCUCCGCCGGGCAUGCUCUCCUCCUCUGAACAUUCACCAAUGUUUGGCGGCGCCGGACAGAAUGCAUCACGGGUCGCCUGCAGGCAGCCUCCACCGGGCGUGCUCUCCUCUGAAAGUUAGGCCAACAUUUGGCGGCGCCAAACAGGUGCCAGUGCAGGCUCGGUCUGACGCCACAUUCGGAGCUGCCAUGUGCCCGCCACAGCGGCGGGGGGCGCCUCUGCUGCACCCCUGCCACCCCUGCCAUCACCGUCACCACCACCGUCAUCGUCUGCGCCAACGACUUCACUGUCAUCACCAGGCGCCGGCUGCAAACCCUCUCUCCGCAUCCUGUGCAGGGAACACUGCAGCCUCUUCCGGGCUUCCAGGACCACGUUACUUUCCAUGCCCUCUGCGUCAGGGGGCACAAUCAAUAGCUCGUCGUAUUUGAACUCCUGCAGCACCUGCUGCACCACCGCACCCUGCUCUGGCACGUCCCUCUCCUCGAUCUUGAACCUGUGGUUCAUGCCUGCCGUGUAUCCCACAACUUUGUACACCUUCCCAGAGAAGUGUUCUCCCUCUUUCUUCUCGAAUCUGUGCUUGCCCAUGUGCAUAUAGUGCUGCACCGUGUCACCCACGCGGGGGUACUUGGGCAGCAGCAUCACUCCAACGCGCUUGUUAUACUGUGAGUUCUCCCAGUGCAGCUGAGCCAGGCGCCCCGCAGCCGCCACUGCCGUAGCUGCCGCCGCAUCCGUAGCUGCCGUAGCUGCCAUUCACGAGGGUGACUCACCGACGAUGAACCACCCAAGCACCUGCUCGGGUGUCAUGGUCUGGCAUGCGGUGCCCCCUUCACACAGCUUCAGUGGAUGGUGCAGCGUGGUGUUGUAGUUCUGCACGCACCUGGCCAGGUCCUUGCUCACCCUACCAACUCAUAGGGGGUCUAACAGCGUCUAACUUCUUAGGCGGGGCUGUCAGAGGGGCUCAUUAUCAGCUGCUGACGAUAGUUGUUAACGUGGCAUAACAGCCAGUUAGACACUGGGUUAGAGCCUGUCUUGUCCUGUUUGGCCCUGUGACUGACAUAUACCUGGAGCCCACACUGUUAACAGUUGAUGGGGUGUUACACUGUGGGCGGGUUGGGUUUAGGGUUUUAGGGUUUUAGGGAGUACACACGGGGGGAAAGAAUGGGCUAUUGCAGCGAAGCAACGCCCCAGAUGAGUGCUAAAAACGGUGCAUUAGAACAUGCAUAUUUGAAGCUUAGCCUAACGUUGUCCUUGGCAUCCGACUGCACCCACUACCCUCCAGGGCAUGGCUAGGAGCUUUUCGAGUCGAGGAACGUACGUCAUACAUCGCUACAAGGUGUGUAUGGAUAGGGAGGGUCGGGGAAUUGGGGCUGGGAGGGUUGGGAGGGUCGUGGCACGGGAGGUUGCGGGGUAUGGGGGUUAGGGAGGGUCGGGGAAUAGGGGUUGGGAGGGUUGGGAGGGUCGGGGCACGGGGGUUGGCGGGGUAUGGGGGAUAGGGAGGGUCGGGGAACGGGGUUGGGAGGGUCGGGAGGAUCGGGGCACGGGGGUUGGCGGGGUACGUCUGUAUUUUUUUUGGUCGUCUAUAUCCUGAAGACCCGUCUAUUAGACGAGUCAUCUACAAUAGUUCGUCUAAAGUCGAGUCGUCUAUACAUGUCGUCUCUAGUCGAUUCAUCUAUUGUAGACGAAGAAUAGACGAUGGGUAGACGGUGAGAGGAGUUCAAUAUGCUGGAGAGUGUCUGCUUGGGUUAAACCAUGCCGCUGAGCUGAUGUCUGUUCUGCAUCAAUGUUGGCAAGGUUCUGGCAGGCUAACACUGCCUGGCAUGUAACGAUUAUCGCCAUACUUACAAAACCCCAGCACAUGCUGUGGGGACCAGGCAGUGCCCAGCCUCUCCCACUUCCUUACCACAAAACUGUAGCAGUUUGAGAUGAUUGGGCAGCAACACCAUUGCCGAUGCAUUACUGACAACAGCACCGCCAUCCCAAACGCCUUUAUCAGGAAAACUUUCAGGCUUAUCUUGCUGUUUUGGUGUUUGUUCGGCGUUCAGUCGUUGCCUUUUGCGUGUUUGGCUAUGUAAGGACCGGUCAUACAUUCUGCUAUGCCGCGUUGACUCACGGGCUUGACCUUCUUACGAAAUUCUAUGAUAGCUUAUGAGCACCGCAGAGCUUUUAUCAUUUUUGUCGGUGGUCUUGAGCAGCUGUGUCGUAGUCGCGUCCCUUACGAGGGACGCGAGUACGGCAGAUUGAAAUUGAAGAAGAUUCGUCUAUCAGGGAAGGUUGUCAGCAUUGCCCAUCAGGCCUCGGUUUAUCUGCUUAAUUUAAAAUUAUGGACUCCACUUUUAUUUUGAACCUUCUCGAUGAAAAUUGGUCGGCUUUUGAAGAGCAGGCAGUGUUUAUCACGAAAAAUGGUAUUGCUUUUGAUGCUGAGCUGGCAGCGGAACUUGUUUAUGUAGUGCAGCCACAGCUAGUGAAGCAGUGCCCAGGCCUCGGCGAGACAUUCUGCGCAUUCCUGGAGGACGUUACAGCAAAUCUAUUUAGUGUAAUUUCCUAUAAUUAGAUAGUGACACAGGUGUCGCAAUUACUUCACUGGUUAUCACAUAGGGAGAGGCCCUGGUCAACUGCCAGACUUUCACUGAGCAUUCUCACCUGCCGCGACUGGUCAUCAAUAUGUCCACCCAGAGGUGCCCUCACUGUGGACGAGAGUUCAAGGAGCUGCGCCUGCAUCUCCUUCGCAACCCCUAUGGCUGCAAGGGUGUUAUCGAGUCAACGCUGCCUGGCUGCUGCGUUGCCGGUGGAGACGUCGCCAACAAUGAUAAAUUAUUCACAGACAAUGAGCCAGUGGUGAAUGUGGAAUGCAGGCAGAGUGUUCCUCUUGACGAGCCAUCAAUUGGCACGUUCGAGAUGGGCGUCUCAUACCUUGACCACCUAGACAAGUAUGCAGAGGCAAAUAGUGAAAAGCCACCUGAGAAAAGUUUGUCUUCAGAGGUGGAGACCUUCCUCGCGGCGAACCUCUCGGGUGCGUUUUUACCAGCAUUGGCCAGUGUUACCAGUGUUUACCAGCAUUACUCACUGUUUCUAAGCAUGCUGUUUUUGGUGCCUAGUUGAUAGCAAGCCACAAUGCUUACUGCAAGUUGAAAUGUGAUGCCUGCAGGUUGCAAGCUCCAGGAGUUUUUGCGCCUGUUCAAGCAGUUUCCAGGCGAGGCCUACACCCCAUCUGCAGAUACUUUGAAGGGUAUCUACAAUUCUUUGUGGGACUACCACCUCUGUGUACCACUCACAUGCAGGUGAGGGCAAGGAUAGCCUGUCCUUCCGGUCCCUGAAGCGCAAGGUCCUCCAGGCCGCACUUGAUGUGGCCCUGGCACCCCACAUAUAUGUGGUCAUGGAUCCGGUCAUAGUUUGUCAUUAAGUCAUGGAUCUGGUCAUGUAUGUGGUCAUGGAUCCGGUCAUAAUUUGUCAUUAAGUCAUGGAUCCGGUCAUGGAUCAGUUCAUAGUUUGCAUAAGCAAGUGCAGGAUAUGACUGGUUGGGGUCAUGAAAUGCGUGGUCAUGAUGGGAUUUAUGAUUGGAUUUAUGACAGGUCAUGGGACCGCAAUAUGACCGUAUUCAGUCAUGGCUGCACUUUAUGACCCCAUGAGGUCAUAAAGGUGGUCAUGUACCUGCUCAUAAAUAUGCGGAACAUGACCAGGUCAUAUUGCGCAUGGUAUUCCAUGAUGGAACAAUGCAUUCCAUGACCACCCUGGCCCAUGUUUUGCACUCAUUCCAUGAGUCAUACAAUGCAUUCCAUGACCACCCUGGCCCAUGUUUUGCACUCAUUCCAUGAGUCGUACACUGCAUUCCAUGACCACCCUGGCCCAUGUUUUGCUUGGUUUACAUGACUCGUACACUGCAUUCCAUGACCACAUUGGCACAUGUUUUACAUUGUUUACACGAGUCAUACACUGCACUCCAUGACCACCCCUGGCCCAUGUUUUGCGCACAUCCCAGAAGUUGUUCACUGUGGGCUUAUAAGUCAUGACCAGCAACCCAUCAAUAUGUGGGCUCCAGACUCCAAGUCUGCUACCCUACCACAUAGACUUGCCCGGUUAUCGGGCAAUUUAGGUCGUUAACGGGGUAUGCGGAGACCGGUUACCAGGUGGAUGGUUACCGGGGGUCGUUAAUGGGGGUGGUUACGAUUGGGUUACAGUUACUGGGCAGUAACCGGGGCUGGUUUUUCGCAUUAAUUUACAGCAGCAAGGACAGCCCUCUAUGGCCGGUACUCAGCUCAGUGUCUUUUUUUAAAGUAAUAUAUUCCUUAAAAGUAAUAAACAGGCCCAAUGGCAUACUCCAGGCCGGUUCCGGCCCGGUUCCGACCUAACGGGUCCAGUUAACGAGAUGGGUAACCGGUCGGUAGGAUUACCGGGCGAACCGUUAUCCGUUAACCGUCCCCAGUAAUCGGUAACCGAUGUCGGUAACCUGGCAUGAGCAAAAAUGCAUUUCUGAUUGCAACCAGUUUCUUUGUGACAAUGCCCAUUGUCACAAGGUUCAUGCCCACGUGUCACAACCCGACAAGCUUGAGGAGGUUAAGGCAAUGUGAAUGCCGGGUGACAGGGGUGACAGUCUUGUGCAGGCACAUUUGGAGACUAGUUUACACUGAGAUUGGGGUGAUGUUGGAUUAGAAUACUUGCAGUUCAUGAAAUUGAGGAAAUGUGUUGCAUAGGCAUAUCCAAACGUUUCAGAGGGACGUUGUUUCGCCCGUAACAAACUUGUUACGGGCGAAACAAACUGGAUUUCCACAGUCCCACCACUCAAAGAGCUCCCCACACCAUCGCAAAGUCCCUUUUUUAUUACAGACACAUGUAACAAGUUGUCAUAGCUUGAGAUUGUCGAUAUAUGACUGCUGGAUUGUGACCAGGCCAUCUCCUUACAUGUCUUGCUGCACCAGCAUGAGCAGUGAUCCCUUCUGUUUAAAAUUUUCAGGCAACAUCGCAAUGAGGCAAAACAUUGUGCCGAAUCUGCCGUACAAAGAGUNNNNNNNNNNNNNNNNNNNNNNNNNNNNNNNNNNNNNNNNNNNNNNNNNNCACACAGUCUCACACAUACAUGUACACACACAUUGUAGCAAGCUACAUUUCACUUAGAAUAUUCAACGAUUACUCUUGACAAUAACUGUUAAUUCGUUAACGAUUCGACUCUAGUUUUGUACAUGUUAUGAGUUUCGUCACAUGUCUCGAACAUGGUGGUUGUUCGCAGCGAAAACCCUUAGAAUAUUUCAACGAUUACUCUUGACAAUAACUGUUAAUUCGUUAACGAUUCGACUCGAGUUUUGUACAUGUUAUGAGUUUCGUCACAUGUCUCGAACAUGGUGGUUGUUCGCAGCAAAAACCCUUAGAAUAUUUCAACGAUUACUCUUGACAAUAACUGUUAUUUCGUGAACGAUUCGACCCGAGUUUCGUACAUGUUACGAGUUUCGUCACAUGUCUCGAACAUGACGGUUGUUCGUAGCAAACCUAAUGGGCUGGGGCCCCGGGGCCCCACUGACAUAAUCCUAGUAUGGCAGGACCAUGGUAGGGAAUCUCCGGCAGGUAGGCCGAGAUAUAAGCUACCCGGGCGGGGUGCACUGGCCAGACACUGAAGUAUCACGAAUACUAGGUGUUCAGAGUUCAAGACUCCGCUGCCGCCAUAUAGAUUGUUUUCGUAUACGCGUCUAUGCAGACUAGUGCUUGCCGCUGGGUUGGUCUCCUUCCUGCCUCGGCGAAGACUAUCAUCUCAAUGCUUCCGGGUAACAGGCUGUUGGGAGUUAGAGAUUGAUCAACGUCAUGACCAACCUAACAGCUGUGAGCACACAGCACGCACCUGCAGGCUUUGUGACUGCAGGGCGGUUCAAGGCGAAAUGCAUGCCUUUGUGAAAUGCCCGGUGUACACUAGUACACGGGCUAAGUAUGAACAUGACCUCGCGUUUCAAGGGUACAACGUGCGCACGAUUUGACUGAGGCCCCACCCCUGGCACUAGCCAGGUUCCCCUCGGAAGUCUGGGAGACCCGGCACGUUGCUCUAUGGCGCUUCAUAUGCUCAAGUGGACGAGGGAGGACAAUGAUGGUAACUGCACUUCCACCAUGUAACUGCACAUCAAACGAUUUACCGUCCAUGGGCACGCCAGCUUUUAUGUACAACCCCGCACUUGUAUGGAACUUGUAACACACUCAAACACAUACAAAGACAGACACAACCACCCACCCAUUUCAGUCACACACACACACACACACACACACACACACACACACACACAGACACACACACAGACAGACACACGGACAGACAAACAGAGACAGACAAAAGGAGAGUCACAGAGACAGACACACAGACAGACAGAGACAGACACAGACAGACAGACACAGAGGCAGACACACAGACAGAGAGACACGGACAGACAGACACAGAGACAGACACAGACAGACAGACAGACAGACAGACAGACAUAAAUAGAUAAAGAAAGAAAGGAAGAGGGUUUUAGGGUUUAGGGUUUUAGGGAGUACACACGGGGGGAAAGAAUGGGCUAUUGCAGCGAAGCAACGCCCCAGAUGAGUGCUAAAAAC
rnacentral:lncRNA from 1 species